rnacentral:lncRNA from 1 species
UCAAACAAGCUCCUCGCGCUUGGUAUGACACACUCAAAGACUUUUUGAAGAGCAAAGGCUUCAAACUUGGUUCACUAGAUCCAACACUCUUCACGAAGUCAUACGACGGUGAACUGUUUGUGUGCCAAAUCUAUGCGGAUGACAUUAUCUUCGGCUGCACUGACAAGAGAUACAACAAUGAGUUUGGGCACAUGAUGCAAGAGCAAUAUCAGAUGUCCAUGAUGGGUGAGCUGAAGUUCUUCCUUGGUCUUCAAAUCCGCCAGCAGAGAAACGACAUCUUCAUAUCUCUAGAAAAAUACCUCAAAGAAUGCCUGAAGAAGUUUGGAAUGCAAGACUGCAAAGGUUACACGACGCCAAUGCCAACCAAAAGUCAUCUGGGUCCUGACGACAUUGGUAAAGAGUUCGAUCAAAAGGUAUACCGCUCCAUGAUUGGUUCCUUACUUUACUUAUGUGCAUCUAGGCCAGAUAUAAUGCUUAGCGUUUUCAUGUGUGCCCGAUUCCAAGCGGCACCAAAGGAGUCGCAUCGCCUUGCGGUGAAGCGAGUUCUUCGAUAUUUGGCUUACACCCCAAUGAUAUGAUUAUGGUAUCCAAAGGGCUCAACAUUUGAUAUGAUUGGGUAUUCUGAUGCUGUUUAUGCUGGUGACAAAGUUGAUUGCAAGUUCACCUCUAGAACAUGUCACUUUCUCGGUCAAUCACUUGUCUGUUGGUCUUCAAAGAAGCAGAACAGUGUGUCACUCUCCACUGCUGAAUCUGAAUACAUUGCUGCUGGAUCAUGCUGUGCUCAGCUUCUAUGGAUGAAGCAAACUCUUAAGGACUAUGGCAUCAACACGAAGAAUGUGCCACUCUUUUGUGACAAUGAAAGCGCCAUCAAGCUUUCCAAAAAUCCAGUUCAACACUCGAAGACAAAGCACAUUCAGAUCCGUCAUCACUUUCACAGAGAUCAUGUCAACAAGGAAGACAUUGAUAUCAUUCACGUCAACACUGAAGAGCAAUUGGCUGAUAUCUUCACUAAGCCCUUGGAUGAGAAAAGGUUUUGCAAGUUGCGGUGUGAGCUAAAUAUCUUAGAAUCCUCGAAUGUCCUGUGAAUGGACACACAUCCUAAUGCUUAUGCAUGUUGACGACUUAGAUGUGCAACACACGAAGUAACUUUUAUCUUCAAUUAAUGAAGACUUACCUUCUGAGUGUGAAUACAUUAAUGUGGAAUUUGACUUUGGAGCGCCACGAUAAUUGUGCGUCGUGUCUGGGUCUAAUACUUCCUAUACGGUGGGUAACGCCACCACAAAAUUCUCAAUGAAGUGUUUCUCUUGGCAUUAAAAUUGCAAAGUAUUCGAAUUUGGAUUGUCUUCAACAUUAUUUUAUCUUCAUGAUUUAUCUUCACAAUGUUGAUUUGGUUCAUAUACAUAUAUAUAUAUAUAUAUAUAUAUAUAUAUAUUCGUGUUCUGUCCUCUACAACAUUCACUUAUAGCUAUGUCUUCACUCUUGAAUCUUUUGAUCUAAGUGAAUGUGAUCGGACCCUAACCUGUUCUAUGCUUCUACCUCAACUCUAUCUGUCAAAAUCAUAUGCAUUCUACUGAACCUGUCGAUUGUCUUCACUGAGUCCUUGUCAGUUGAAGUCAAUCUCACAAACAUUUAAUCUGUUUUUAAUGCUGCAUCCUUAUUGCCUAAAAAUCGGAGAAGCCGAAACGACCACCCGACAAUCCAGGCGUGCGUGGGAACAUGGAACAACUUCUAGUGUGUUGCAUGUUUGGCACGUGUCCCUCAGAUGUGAACCGCCAGGGGCACCUGAGUAAUUGUGUUGUGUUGUCCCUUUCCUUAUAAAUACACAUCACAUCACGGUCAAAAUCCUUCUUCCACCUUCGCACGUCGCUCAAAACCCUAGCGCCACCGCUAGCUCAUGACGACGCCAGCGACGAAGUGCUUAGCUGCCACGACCUCACCGACGCCGUCCUCAUGCCGGCUGCAGACCUCGUCUUCUCCGCCGCCGCCGUAGGUGUCUUCCGUCACCAAGUUAGGGCAUAGGAGAUUGAACUGCUCGGUCUCCAACUCCGUUCUGUCUAGCAGUUCUUCGUGUGGUAAUUAAAACUCAUUUUUUACUGCCUUUGAUCUGAUAGAUUCAUCCUUCUCUACCAAAAGUGGUUUCUCUGCUUACAAAGUUGAAUCUAUCCUGUUCUGCAUCUCAUAUUAUGCCAAGUAUAUUCACUUAUGCUUCACUACAAGUUAGAUUCCUCACUUGUACCUAUUCUUGGAUUCGUACAAAUCUGGAACCAACUCACAACAAAUAAGUGAAUGUCUUCGCGUUAUGAGGUCAAUGUCUUCAAACUGAUUUAUCUUCAAAAUCUUAUGAGAAUGCAUAUGACCUCUUCCCCUUCCCUUGCACCUCUAAUGCUGUCACAGGUACAUGUCCGUGGGAGAAUCCCUUGGUUCUCAUAGUCUGCAUUCAUUUGCAGAAUUCUUACAGAGUCACAUCAAUUCUCCUGAAGCCAGUUCCUGUCUGACCAGCCGUCGGAAGCCUUUGCAAGUUCUGGAGCCGUUCAAUUUAAGCUUCAUGGCAACUGAAAGGUCAGCUAGAAAGGGCGGCAGAUAGUGCCUUGGGAAUACAUCCAAAGAUUUGCCACCAGAUCUGCAUGAAAUAUACAAGACAUGCCCUGAAGAAACUUAUGGUGAACGCAAAACUCAAAUCCAAUGGAUUCAAAGAUAUUGGGCUGAAGAAUGGUUUAAGUACAGAUUUGUCACUGCUGAGUAUGCUGAGAAGAAUGCCAUCAAGCAGCCCUGGGGAGAUAUAUUAUACAAAAAUCUUCAACCCCAAUACCUGUCUGAAGCUAUUGAUCAAGGCUUCUACCCGUGCAUGGUUCGCGGACCACAGCCAGAGAAUGCUGAUCCAUCUUCUCUGCUAUGGUGUCAUGAAGACGAUCUGUUCAAGCGCAACUUCAAGUUUGCCAAAGAUUUUGCUGUGAAGAACAAGAAAGCAUUUAGACUCUACUUCAACCCCGGUCCAUCUGCUCCUCGGGAUGAUGGCACCCGUGAAGCCAAUGAAAACAGAAUCGGCCCCUUCUACAACCUCGAAGGCCUCAUCACUCACGUUGCAGAUCAAGGGGCUAAUGUGGAUCACUUAGCUGAUGACGCAGAUUCUGAUGAAGCGCCAGCUCCUCCUCAACCGCAGAAGUAGAAGAAAACAAAGGUUUCAAAACCCUCUGCUGCACCAAAAGCUUCACGUGUGAAGCCAUUGGCAACUGCCCCUCCUGCAUCCAGUAUGCAAUCUGAAGAUCUCUCUCGCAUCUCCAAGAAGACCGAGAAGUCUAUCCAGAAGAAACCCAUCCUAAGUUCUGGUCAAGCACUGACCCCGGUUGCCAUUCUGAGGAACGAGAAUGAAGCCAUUGAUCUGUCAAGUGACGAUGAUCUUGGUGAGGAUGCUCUUGAGCUGCUGAUAAAGAGCAAACAAGAGGCGGAAAUCUUCAACAAUUUGCCCCUCUUUGACAUGGACAUCCUCAACAACUUCAUUGAUGAGUGGUUUACCAAUCCGGAUCUCAACAUUGAUGAUCUUCAACUUCCCAUUGGCAUCAGUGUCGCUUUCCACAGUGCCAUUGCAAAUGAGCUAGCUAUGGCUCAGAAGAUAGUCGAGCUCAAGAACAAGAUUGACUAUGAAAAGGCUCAAUUCAAGAAGCACAUGGCCAAGCUCAAUGUCACUGAUGUUCAGAACUUCAAGAAGCUGCUGCAUGAUCUCAAGGAAGCGUUUCACAAGAAACGUGAAGAGGCAAAAGGUUCAAGAGAGCGGAUAAACAUCUUGCCGCAAAAUGUGUUCAGGCUCAUAAUGAAGCUGAAAAGCACAAGGCUCUUGGGCAUCCAGGCAUCGACCCCAAGAUGGCUGCCAAAAGGAAGAAGCCUACUGUGACGCAAGUUGAGGCGUCAAGACAGGAAGCACAUCGCAUUGUUUUCCCUACCAGCGUGACAUGCUCGAAGCCUAAGGUUCCCACAGUGGCUUCAGAACUGAAGAAGACAAGGGCAGCCGAGGCCGCAGCCAGAAAACGAAAGAACAAGAAUGUCCUUGAUGAUGCUCCACUGACCAAGAAGCGGAAGACAAAGUCUUCGAAGAAGAAUCAGGCUGCUCCUUCAGAGCCCCUUCUUGUCGAGCCCCUCUCAGUUGCUCGUCCUGCAUCCCCCCACCAAGAGCGUCAGUUAGUUGUUCACAAGUCUGCUUUCACAGAGGCUCCUGAAGCUGAAGAAGAUCCAGCUGUUGACCCCACCGCAGCUGAAGACAUUGGUCCCCAAGACAAUGUUGAAGAUGAUGAAGUUCUUCCUUAGAUCGAGCACCAAAAGGUAUCAUCGCCUGUUCUCACGAAUAGCGAAAUCAUAAGCAUUGGUCGUCCCUUGACGCCAAUUGCUUAGGAUGCAUCAUGGGUUGAUCGCCCCCAACCAGAAACUCCAAGUCAAAGCUCACCAAGCACCCCCCACCUCAAGUCACCACUCCGGUGCUUGAUGAUGACGACGACUAUGUGGUCCAUCCAACUCCCACUCCAAGAGCGACGCCUGCAUUUCGUAGGCUUCGCAAAGGACCAAGGCCACAAGUUGCUAUGUCGAGCGUCCCAACAGGAGAAGUGCAACCCCACUCAGUAGCACGUCAAGCGUUUCCUGAAGCCACUCCUACUGUGAGUGUCUCUGAGUCUGAAGCCAAGGCUGCUGAAGACAUACCGGUUGCAUCAGCCGAUGAAAAUCAAGAACCUUGUGAAGAAGAAGAGCGUGUUGUCACACCCCCCACCAAUCAAGAAAAUGUUCUCGAGGAGAACGUGUCUGUGCCCGACCCUCCAGCUACACAAGUGGAGGUUGAAAAUACUGAGGCGGCCACCAAUAACACUACUGAAGCCAAUGGCGUUGUCAUGGCUGAAGCUAAUGUGGCGCCUACAGUGAACAUGGUGUCUGAAGCUAAUGAUGCUCCUGCCACCAAUGUGCAGCCUGAAGCCCUUGUAAAUGACAUUGCUCCUGUACCGCCUCCAAGGCCUCACACCAUUGAGCAAGCAUUUUAUCAAGGCGAGCUUGUCACUAUUAGAUGGCCUAUUCUGGUUCCUCCGCCUGCUCCCAGACCUCAAUUCGAUUAUCAUGUGGAGCACAUGCCCCAGGUUCAGAAGCCAAAACCAAGGCUGCCAAGGUUUCCAGGUACUGCAUCAGCGCCAGGAUCAUUCAAUGCAAAUGGCUUCAUUGAACACAACACCUUCUUUGAUAGUGCCAAGAGCCCAUAUUCAAGGCCAAGAAUUUCCUCUGAUCGGUUCUGGAGCUAUCAGCAGCGCAGUUAUUAUUCUUGUGUCUUAUACAAUCAAGGGCACAUUUUUCCUCAUAUGCGUCUAGACUACGAAGCCAUUGCUGGACUGCCAUGCUUGGAAGAAGCCUUAGACUGCUUCAGAGAUGCUGGCCUUCUGCAGUUCGUGACCGACAAGGAAAAUUGGAAUGAAGGGCUACUGCUAGCUUCUGCUAUAAUUCUAUGCCACACUUCACAUUCGCGGCUACAACAGGGAUAUCAAAACUUGGGUCCUUAUGUGGAUGACAGGCAAUGUCCAUCAUGAAGCCAAAGCUCUUGAUAUCAUUGAGCUUGCUUGCCUGCCCACUCCAGGUGAACUUUGUGAACCUGGUUAUCAGCUUCACCGCAAUGCCUUAGAAAGCAUAUUCCAGAAGCCAGAGCCCAACAUGAGCCAAAUGCUGAGUAUGAUGAAGCCUCUGCCACAAGAUGUUGAAUAUCCUAAGCAAUUCUUUGUUGAAGACCUAGAUUAUCUGCCUCGCACCAUCUAUCACAUUAUCAGGCGAACUCUAUGGCCCAUUAAAGGACAUUCUUCUUCAGCAAAGCUUGAAGGCUCAAUGAAGACAUUGGUCUUCUAUAUUCUCAAUGACAUCAGCUUUAAUGCUCAGGAUUUCUUCAUUCGCCAACUUGCUGCAUCUGGCUCAGAUAUAUUUGGUAUGAAGUUCUAUGCUCCAUGGGUAAUGCGUCUUAUCAAGCUUCACUCAGCUGUCAACUAUCAGCCCUCUGCGCGCAACCAUCUCAUAUUCCUGCCAAAGGUUGAUAUGUCUAUCGAAGCCAUAUACCCAGAGCCUACCAAGGAUCCAAUUUAUCUUCACAAUGUCGAUCGCCAAAGUUUCUCUCAACAUGUUGAAAGAGUUCAUGCUGCCACUCGUGUUUAUCCUUUGGCUGGAAAUACACGUGCACCUCAUCGUGCCCAUACUGAAGCCACUAAAAGCACUAUUGCUCCAAGGCCUCGGAAGAGACCGAGAGCUUCUCGUGGCCUUGCAUCAAAAACACGAUAAGCAUCAUUACUGGAUGAAGCGUCAGAUGCAGAGUCUCUUGAUGGAUGUUAAUCGCAUUCGCAAUCUAGCUACCAAGAAUGCAUUUGUCACUCAUGAAACCUGUCGGCGGUCGUGGAAGAGUCUGACACUACUCAGUUCUGAAGAUGAUCUUCAACAAGAUGGCUUCACAGAGAGAUUCAAGUUUGAUUCCACUCCUCCCAGGAAUGUUGUCUUACGUCGGACUCCUUCACUCGAAGACUCUGAGUACUCCUCUUCGGCAGCAACUAUAAAUGCCAGAGUCAUCAAUGAUGAAGAUGUUGCUACAUCACCAACAACCACUUCAUCGCAUAUCGACACUGCACCAGGCCCCUCUGCACCACCAAACUCCAACACCGACCCUGCUCCUUCUGGGAACGAGUAGACGCUCUAUGUCUUCAAACCUUUUUGGUCAUUACUGACAAAAGGGGGAGAAGCAUAUGAGUUGAUAGUCUUCAAGCGGGUCCUUAUGGGUGGUUGCAUUAUUUUUGCCAAGUCUUACAACUCUCGCUUUUGGUACAUUUGGUUCUCUGAGUUGUAACACUUAAACUUGAUGGCCGUCUGCUACUUUAUUUGCUAUUCUGUGAUGCAAUGAUAAAUCCCGCAUGAAGUCAUUCUGCAGACGUCCAUUCGUCAUUAUGCAUAUAAUUAUCUUCGCUACUUCUUAUAUGCAUAAUGCAUUGUCUUCACACUUUGAUGAUGGCCUCCAUAAAGCAAAACCUGCCAUGUGCAUUCGCAUUCAAACGCAAAUGAUUUAUAUGCACAUCUUCAGCGGGAGCCUCGUCUUAUGUAUGAAGACAAUACUCACAACACUAAACUUUCACAUACUUUUAUCCCCGUUGAAAACUUCAACCAAUUUGUCAUCAAUCACUAAAAAGGGGGAGAUUGUAAGUGCAUCUAGUGCCACCCCUAGUUGGUUUUGGAGUAUUGAUGACAAACUUGGUUGAGGGACUAAUGUGUUUGUGAGAAUUGCAGGAUAACACAUAUAGUAGUCCCAUAUUGAUUUAGUUUACCUACCAGAGAUGACCCCUAAAAAUGUGUGAAGACAUUGAAGACAAUGGUGGUCUGUGAAGACAUUCACGUUGAAGACUAUGACAGGAGAAGACAUCGCGUGAAGACUAAGGAGUGCGAAGACAUAUUUGUUUUGUAGUUUCCUUUUCUUCUUUGUUGAGUCAUAGGAACCACCAUACUGUUAAGUGGGGCCCAAGUGAACAAACUCAGAGUGACUGAUGUGAUGCUCAACCAAAUCCUAUGUCUUCGAGCAAAGACAAUGAGAGCAAAUCUUAUCCAGAGCUGGAUGAGUCAGCUUUACUUGUAGCCCAAGUCAAACUGCCGCGUGUGUUCAAAAUCUGACCAUUGGACACGUGUCAGUUCCUUAGUGACCCAGGGUAAUUUCGGACAAAUAAGGUCGGGUUGCCUCCUGGCUAUAAAUAGCCCACCCCUACACCAUAAAUUGGUGGUUGCUCAGAGUUAGUGCACGGCUUUUGUCGUUUGAGAACAACCCACCUCCGAACCCUUUGAGAGAGAGAAUCCUUGCGAGAACAAAGCCCAAAACACAUAGAGCCAAAGAGUGUUAGGCAUCACUGAAGUUUUUCUGUCCGCGUGAUCUGAAGACUUAUUACACUUGAGGACUGUGAAUCCUCCAGCCGGUUAGGCGUCGCGUUCUGAGCAUCCAAGAGUCAUUGUGGAUUGCCGAUGAACGAAGUCUAUGAAGGUUUGGAAGUCUCCCUUGAAGACCAGAGUGAUUGGGCGAGGACUAAGUGUUCUUAGCUCAAGGGGAAUAAGGUGAAGACGCGUCUUCUGAGUUAAAUCUCAGCCUCCCUAACCAGACGUACAGUUGUCACAACAACUGGAACUAGUCCAACAAACCCCUUGUCCUCUUCGAGCAACUGGUUCUAUCCUACCUCUCUUGCCUUACUUACAGUUUGUCUUCGUGAAGUCUUUGCUACUUGCCUUAUCUGUUGGACUUCACUGUGUGAAGACUGUUGUCUGUUUGGCUUCAUACUAUCUUCCAUCCUGAUCCAAUCUACCUAGCUGCUUAUAGUCUUCGUGCUUUCACUUCAUUGCUUACAUGACUAUGGCUUGUCUAGUGUAGUCUACCUUUCGUUGCAUAUCAAUAGGUUCAUUUCUAUCGUUUGUCUUCGAAACAUCCAUGUUUUGAAGACUUUCAUAAAAAUCGCCUAUUCACCCCCCUCUAGUCGAAUACUAACACUUUCAGAACCAAACGUUAACUGAGCAACACAUUGCACAAUGUAUAACCAAACCAAGCAUGCUUGACAACUUGGAAAUAUAGCAAUUGUAUUUGUUUCUCAUGUGUUUAGUACAACCAAAUUUGAUUUAUUUCUCACAUGGUAUACAAUAACAGAAUGCACCCACAACUAUUGAACAUCGCAUUGCACAAUUGAACCAAACAGUUAACUAAACACCACAACACAAAUGAACCAAACGUUAACUGAGCACCACAUUGCACAAUGUAUAAGCAAACCAAGCAUGCUGGACAACUUGGAAAUUUAGCAAUUGUAUUUGUAUUUGUUUUGUAAUGAAAAAUUUGAUUUAUUUCUCACAUGGAAGACAAUACAAAAUUGCAGCCUGAAGAAUUGAACAUCACAUUUGCAGAAUUGAACCAAACAGUUACCUGAAGACGACAACUAAUUAACCAAACAAUUAAUAAGUGAGCACCACACUGCACGACAUAUAUAACAUAUACACAGGAGCAACAGAUUCCAUGGUAAAAUUAGAUAGCACAAUUCACUAGAAUUUGGUAAGGAAAGGUGGGAGCAGCACACGCAACGGGUAAACAGAGCAUGCUUAACCGGCGUAGCUAGCAAAUGGCAAGGUGCUGCUCCAAGAUCCGGGGGUCGGCACGAAUGGUAGCCAUCAUGACCUCAUCCGCGCGUGUGGCCAGGAUUUGCUUCUCCGCUACCAAAUGCUCCUUGAGAUCCUGGCUAUACUGCAUGCACCAUGGCUUAGGACGACGCUUAUUUGGUGGAGGGGUCGGUGAUUUGGGUGGAAGGUGUUGCGCUAGUGCCGGCGGUUGGGGCAUGUGGGAUGUGGAAGGAGGAGGAGGACGAGGUUCGGGUGUGGAUUACUUGCCUGGAUAGGCGAGGCCGAGUAACGUGAAGGAGGGUCGCCGACGAGGAGGCGGCGCUGCAAGCAAGGAGUGAAGGUUUCAACUUGGAAAGGAAGGCGGAAACAGGGGAAAUGUGGCUUUUGGUAAGGGGGAAGGGGAGGGGCGGGGAGGUAGAUAUUUCCGCGGAAGCCGAAAAUUUGGAAUCGCUUCAGCGAAAAACUGGCGCGCAAAGUGUCAUCAGACACGGUCCCUUAUUCAGAACUGUGUACAAUAUGUGAACGUCACAAACGGUUCAGAUAGCUUAACCCAUGUGCGAUGAGUUUGAACAUCAAAAUUUUUGGUUCCAACUUCCCUGGUUAUAGUGCUCAUCCACGUCAUUGCAUAAUUUGGGUACACAAAGGAGACUACAGCACACCCACGCUUCUUAAUCGAGCAAGUUCAGCAAUUAAACAGAGCUAGCUGGCCUAAACAUUACUCUAAAAAAUUAAAGACCGGCGCUCUUAAUUAAACAAAACAAAGAGUACUACUACGGUUGGUGCUCGUCGAUCUCUGUCGCCUCCUUCAUGUCCAGCUCACGCCCAACAGUCGAUUGGGGAAGGGGCUCCAUGGCAUCCAUCACACCAUACUCGGCAAGCAUCUCGCCAUCCGCGUCUGCCAUCUCUUUGGAAAAGGCCUCCACGAGCUGGGCGUGGGCGACCAUGAUCUGGGCUUGGACGGGCUCUGUCGUUGCAAGAUAUGCGGCGGAGGAACGGACGGCUGCUCAAAUGCUCUCGGCGAUUGCCAACUCUUCGGCCGUGGGUUGCCGACCAUUGUCGGAGAAGCUUCGUUCGAUUUGUGUGGUGACCGCCACGAGUUGGGCCUGGGCGGCCUCGACAUGGUCGUGGGCGGCCUCCAUCAAGGCUAAGGUCGCCGCUGUGGAACGGGCAGCUGCUGUGCAGCUCUCGCCAGCUGCUAUCCCCGAGGCAGAUGUUGGUGCCGCCACCUAAGAAGCAACAGUGGCCGUUUGGGCUGCCAUGGCCGCCCGGUCGCAGAUUGCGGCCGCGCUCAAGCACCUUGUUGGCACGCGCAUGGCGGCUGCGGCCGCGCUCUCGCCGGAUUGGGCCGCCGAAGUUGCCCUCACGACGCAGGUCCACGUCCCCAUCUUUCACCGGCGACGAUUGAACAAUGAAAUGAUAUUUGGGGACCGAGCUAGUGUGCUUGACACGUGCUUGACACGCCAGUUGUGGACUGUAGCCGAUGCACCGCGUAAGCCAUAGGCGUACCAUACACCGACGGUGCUCCAGGAUAUUUUGUAUUGCAUCUAACAUAGUUAGUGAUAAUAAACUGUGUGGGAUCAACUUGAUUUUUAAUUUUGAUUUGAAUUACAGAAUGGGGUCACAACGGCAAUGGACGGUGUUUGAAUUGCUAGACCUUUUAUCUAUAGUGAACAUGCAAAUAUAUGUGUGUCGUAAAAAAAUUGGAAUUGUUCAGGGUUCCUUUGGACAUUUUUGUACGGUAACUUGGUUUUCUAGGCAUUUCAUGUGCAUAAUUCAAAAUUAAACCACAUGCUCCGGUCCAUAAAAACGGGUUGCAAAAUCAAAUGUUUGUCCUUGGUUGCUAGCUUAGGUCACAUGCAAGAAAUGAGAAUGAAUGUCAAACACCUUGACACUGUCGCUCAGCCGGUAACAUUGAGAUACAUGCUUUUAACAUUGUAGUAAAUUGAAAUCUCGUCUGAAAUUCAUGAAACUUGACAUGAUAUCAUGGAACGGCAGCGACAUGCCGUGGUAAAAAUAUAGUCCCAUUUGGGGCAGGUGUGGGGUAUAAGCUUCUCGCAAACCAGAGCUUCUCUCACAACAAGCCUGGUGGUUUUAGUAGGGUACGUGCCACCUUGGGGGACAAAACGAUAUAUGUUGCAUCUUCUUACUUUCAAAAUGUUUCUCGUGUCAACAUAGAACAACACGAGUGUUGUGUCAAUUUUUGGGAUUUUUCGGGUUUCAUUUUGACAUUUCCAUACAUUAAUUGCAUUUUCAAUGCAUUUAUGAGCACAAUUCAAAUUUGAACUACAUGCACGUGCUCUAAUGCAUAUAAAUUGGUUGAAAAUUCAAAUAUGUGUCCUUGGUUGCAUGCUUAGGUCCCAUGCAAGAAAUGGGAAUGAAUGUCAAACACCCUGCCAGAUUCCUGGUUUUUAAAUUCUAGUAAAUCCAAAACUCGUCUGAAAUUCAUGAAACUUGGCAUGCUAUCAUGGAGCAGCAUCAACAUGCCGUGGUAAAUAUAUUGUCCCAUUUGGGGCAGGUUUGGGGAUAUGCUUCUCACAAACCAAAGGCUCUCACAACAAGCCUGAUGUUUUCGGUAGGGUACGUCCCACCUUUGGGGAUGAAACGAUAUUCGCUGCCCCUUAUUGCUUUCAGAAAUUUUCUAGUGUCAACAUAGAACAAUAGGAGUGCCGUGUCAGUUUUUGGGAUUUUCGGGGUUCGUUUGGACAUUUUUAUGCAUCAAUUGCGUUUUUAAUGCAUUAUGAGCACAAUUCAAAUUUGAACUACAUGCACAUGCUCUAAUGCAUAUAAAUUGGUUGAAAAUUCAAAUAUGUGUCCUUGCUUGCAUGCUUAGGUCCCAUGCAAGAAAUUGGAAUGAAUGUCAAACACCCUGCCACCGUCACUCGGCCGCAAACGUUGAGAUUCCUAGUUUUUAAAUUCUAGUAAAUCCAAAACUCGUCUGAAAUUCAUGAAACUUGGCAUGCUAUCAUGGAGCGGCAUCAACAUGCCGUGGUAAAAAUAUUGCCCCAUUUGGGGCAGGUUUGGGGAUAUGCUUCUCACAAACCAAAGGUUCUCACAACAAGCCUGAUGGUUUCGGUAGGGAACGUCCCACCUUUGGGGAUGAAACGAUAUCCGCUGCCUCUUAUUGGUUUCAAUAUUUUUCUAGUGUCAACAUAGAACAAUAGGAGUGUGGUGUCAAUUUUUGGGAUUUUUCGGGCUUCGUUUGGAUAUUUUAAUGCAUUAAUUGAGUUUUCGAUUCAUUUAUGUGCAUAAUUCAAAUUUGAACUACAUGCACAUGCUCUAAUGCAUAUAAAUUGGUCGAAAAAUCAAAUUUUUGUCCUUGGCUGCAUGCUUAGGUCCCAUGCAAGAAAUGAGAAUGAAUGUCAAACACCCUGCCACCGUCACUCGGCCGCAAACAUUGAGAUUCCUGGUUUUUAAAUUCUAGUAAAUCCAAAACUCUUCUAAAAUUCAGGAAACUUGGCAUGCUAUCAUGGAGCGGCAUCGACAUGCCGUGGUAAAAAUAUUGUCCCAUUUGGGGCAGGUUUGGGGAUAUGCUUCUCACAAACCAAAGGCUCUCACAACAAGCCUGAUGGUUUCGGUAGGGAACGUCCCACCUUUGGGGACGAAACGAUAUCCGCUGCCUCUUAUUACUUUCAAAAAAUUUCUAGUGUCAACAUAGAACAAUAGGAGUGUCGUGUCAAUUUUUGGGAUUUUUCGGGGUUCGUUUGGACAUUUUUAUGCAUUAAUUGAGUUUUCGAUGCAUUUAUGUGCAUAAUUCAAAUUUGAACAACAUGCACAUGCUCUAAUGCAUAUAAAUUGGUUGAAAAACCAAAUCUUCGUCCUUGGUUGCAUGCUUAGGUCCCAUGCAAGAAAUGGGAAUGAAUGUCAAACACCCUACCACCGUCACUCGGCCGCAAACAUUGAGAUUCCUGGUUUUUAAAUUCUGGUAGAUCCAAAACUCGUCUGAAAUUCAUGAAACUUGGCAUGCUAUCAUAGAGCGGCAUCGACAUGCCGUGGUAAUUUUUUUGUCCCAUUUGGGAUAGGUUUGGGUAUAAGCUUCUUACAAACCAGAGCUUCUCACAACAAGCCUGAUGGUUUCGGUAGGAAUGUCCCACCUUCGGGACGAAACUAUAUCCGCUGCCUCUUAUUGCUUACAAAAUUUUUCUAGUGUCAACAUAGAACAACAUGAGUGUUGUGUUAAAUUUUGCAAUUUUUCGGGGUUCGUUUGGACAUUUUUAUACAUUAACUGGGUUUUCUAGGCACUUUAUGUGCAUAAUUCAAAUUUGAACUACAUGCACAUGCUACAGUGCAUAUAAAUUGGUUGGAAAAUCAAAUCUUUGUCCUUGGGUGCAUGCUUAGGUCCCAUGCAAGAAAUGGGAAUGAAUUUCAAACACUAAUGCACUGUUGAUUGCCGGCAAAACAUUGAGAUACUUUGUUUUUAAAUUCUAGCAAAUCCAAAACUCGUCUAAAAUUCAUGAAAUUUGGCAUGCUAUUAUGGAAUGGCACCCGACAUGUUGUAGUAUUUUUCGUGUCCAUUUUGAGAGAAGAAGCACUCGAAUAACAGCCAAUAAAGUCAUUUUCAAACAAAUAGCUGCCACUCUAACCUCGCAAACGUUUGUAUAAUUCAAAUCGUGUGCGUUAUGUUAACCAUUCACAUGACGCCAUGUGUCUUCGUUCUAAUGGCCAUAGGAGGUACUGUGCGGACAGCUGCUUGACAGGACGGGAGGCGUGUGAGCACAGUCCGGUGCGCAGGCUGACUGAGAGGCUUGCAGGCUGUCCUCCAAUGCGCAGGCUCACAGGAAGCGUGCGAGCUGUAUGCUGCACAUGCUCACUAGGAAUCGAGCCCUUUGACUCCCAUGGCCGCCCGCCUUCCUCUCCAUUAAUGGCUCCCGAGCCGCUGCUUAAUACGGGCGGCCUUACUAUUCGCCUCCCAUUCCCCUCCGUCCCGCAGACCUCCACCAAUGCCAUGGCGCAGAAGGAUCAUCUGCCACUAGUCUUCAAGUUUGGUGAAGUCGACUCCGAGCCGGAGGAGAUAGGAGAUAGAAAAUAAGGAGGAAUUGGGCCUCAUGGACAUGUCCCAGAACGAGAUGGCCGCGGUUGUUGCUUCCCCCGCUCCGGUCCCAGCUCCCAUCCCCGCGCCCGCGCGAGUGACCAUUCCCGUAGCAUUGACGGGCUGGUCGCCGAGCACUAUCGUAGAGCUGGAAGCCACGGGCGUCACCGAGGUCUCCGCGGACCCACACGAGCUCAUGUACAUGCCAGCGCCAGGGCCAACGCCCAUGCACAUGCACGCCCCUCCACCCACCGCGGUGCCGGUCCCCGUGCAUUUGGCUACACCCGUCGUGCCGGUGCCCGUGCGCGCGCCUCCCUCAGCGGCAUGGGACGCUGCCAUCGACCGCUGCCUCUCAGCGCCGCCAGCUGCCAUCCUCCCAUGCCCCGCUCGUCGAUCGUGCGAUGACAUGAUGUUUGAUUUACAAGUGAAGAACAUUCUGAGCUGCCUUGAAGACUUCAACAACGGCGUCCCGGAGGACGACAACGGCAAGGACGGUGCGGCACGCCACCUCCACCAUCGUCGGAAAUAGGUUUUUUUCCUGGGUUUAAUAUUGUAUCUCGAUCGCAAACGUUUUAGUUAGAACACCCGUAUGCAAACCGACAACUUCCCCAGGGAGCCAAGGGAAAAUGUGCCGAGUAGGAUUUGUGCAGCUGUUGAUCGCAAACAUUUUGGAUGGAGCACCUGUAUGCAAAGCGAGAGUAGAAUUUGUGCAUCUCUUCAACGCAAAUGGUUGUUUUGGAUGACCCGUGCACAACCACUUACAAACAAUUUGGUAAGAUUUACAUCUGUCGUAUUCGGUACGUUGCCAUUUGUCAAACUUGAAAGAUUGACAUUUGUUGAUCUAGUAACAUUGCCAUUUGUCAACCUUGUAACACUCCGAUUUGUCAAAAUAUGCAGCUGAAAAUCACUAGCACUAUCUAAUUUUUGCAACUAAAAUUCAGUAAUUAAGCAUAGAUUUCAUUCUUAGAUUAAGCAGUCGUGCUUAAUUUAUACAAAUAGUUCAACUCAACAGCUGAACCGACCAAACAUUUCCCCAAUUGUUGCCAACCACGUACUGAAAUAGCUAGUUCUACUUUAUAUACUAGCUAGUUUUAAGUACGUUGUACAGUUCCACCACAUCUAUAGUUAGAUGAACUGAAGAAAAUAGCCCCUAAAUACUACUACUACUACGGAGGGGCUUUGUACUACUUCCGACAGCCUCUCCUCUACCGAGCGCGUUCAGAAAGAGGCAGAUGAGGAGGAGCCUACCGACGAGCUGGACAAAUGCAAUACGGUGCCUACCGCUAGUGCACGUUCGGCGACGCUCGCCAGCUCGAAUGCCCACUGCCGCUCCAGAUGAUCCCUCUCGAAGCGGUGGUUCUUGCUACCUCUUAAGCACUGUGUUGGAUUUCCCCGAAGAGGAGAGGAUGAUGCAGCAAAGUAGCGUAAGUAUUUCCCUCAGUUUUUGAGAACCAAGGUAUCAAUCCAGUAGGAGACCACGCACAAGUCCCUCAUACCUACACAAAACGAUAGCAACUCGCAACCAACGCUUAGGGGUUGUCAAUCCCUUCACGGUCACUUACGAGAGUGAGAUCUGAUAGAGAUAAUAUUUUUGGUAUUUUUGAUAGAUAGAUGCAAAGUAAAAAGUAAAGGCAAAGUAAAAACAAAGCAAGUAAAUAAAGUGAUAUAGAUUGAUAUGAUGAGAAUAGACCCGGGGGGCCAUAGGUUUCACUAGUGGCUUCUCUCAAGAGCAUAAGUAUUCUAUGGUGGGUGAACAAAUUACUGUUGAGCAAUUGACAGAAUUGAGCAUAGUUAUGAGUAUAUCUAGGCAAUGAUCAUGUAUAUAGGCAUCACGUCCAAAACAAGUAGAUCGAAACGAUUCUGCAUCUACUACUAUUACUCCACUCAUCGACCGCUAUCCAGCAUGCAUCUAGAGUAUUACGUUAAAAACAGAGUAACGCCGUAAGCAAGAUAACAUGAUGUAGAGGGAUAAAUUCAUGCAAUAUGAUAAAAAACCCCAUCUUGUUAUCCUCGAUGGAAACAAUACAAUACGUGCCUUGCCGCCCCUUCUAUCACUGGGUAAGGACACCGCAAGAUUGAACCCAAAGCUAAGCACUUCUCCCAUUGCAAGAACUACCAAUCUAGUUGGCCAAACCAAAGAGGAUAAUUCGAAGAGACUUGCAAAGAUAACUCAAUCAUACAUAAAAGAAUUCAGAGAAGAAUCAAUUGUUUUCCAUAGAUAAUACUGGAUCAUAAACCCACAAUUCAUCGAUCUCAACAAACACACCGCAAAAAGAAGAUUACAUCGAAUAGAUCUCCACGAGAGGGGGAGAACAUUGUAUUGAGAUCCAAAAAGAGAGAAGAAGCGAUCUAGCUACUAGCUAUGGACCCGGAGGUCUGAAGUAAACUACUCACACUUCAUCGGAGGGGCUAUGGUGAUGAUGUAGAAGCCCUCCAUGGUGGAUGCCCCCUCCGGCGGAGCUCCGGAACAGGCCCCAAGAUGGGUUCUCGUGGAUACAGAAGGUUGCGGCGGUGGAAUUAGGUUUUUGGCUCCUGUUCUGAUCGUUCAGGGAUAUGUAGGUAUAUAUAGGAGGAAGGAGUACGUCGGUGGAGCUCCGAGGGGCCCACGAGGUAGGGGGGCACGCCUAGGAGGGGGCACGCCUAGGAGGGGGGCGCCCUCCACCCUCAUGACCUCCUCGGACACUGCUUGGAGUAGGGCCCAAGUCUCCUGGAUCACGUUCGGUUGGAAAAUCACGACCCCGAAGGUUUCAUUCCGUUUGGACUCCGUUUGAUAUUCUGUUUCUUCGAAAUACUGAAAAAGGCAAAAAACAGCAAUUCUAGGUUGGGCCUCCGGUUAAUAGGUUAGUCCCAAAAGUAAUAUAAAAGUGGAAAAUAAAGCCCAAUAUAGUCCAAAACAGUAGAUAAAGUAGCAUGGAGCAAUAAAAAAUUAUAGAUACGUUGGAGACGUAUCAGGCAUCCCCAAGCUUAAUUCCUGCUCGUCCUCGAGUAGGUAAAUGAUAAAAAAAAGAAUUUUAGAUGCAGAGUGAUACUUUGGCAUAAUUUCAAUGUAAAUCUUCUUAAUUGUGAUAUGAAUAUUCAGAUCCGAAAGAUUCAAGACAAAAGUUCAUAUUGACAUAAAAAUAAUAAUACUUCAAGCAUACUAAUCAAAGCAAUCAUGUCUUCUCAAAAUAACAUGGCAAAAGAAAGUUCAUCCCUACAAAAUCAUAUAGUUAGGCUAUGCUUCAUUUUCGUCACACAAAGAUGUUCUCAACUUCUAUACCCCCGAUGACAAGCCAAGCAAUUGUUUUAUACUUAAAUAAUCUCAAACUUUUUCAACCUUCACGCAAUACAUGAGCGUGAGCCAUGGAUAUAGCACUAUGGGUGGAAUAGAAUAUGAUGAUGGGGAUUGUGUGGAGAAUACGAAAAAGGAGAAAGUCUCACAUUGACGAGGCUAAUCAACGGGCUAUGGAGAUGCCCAUCAAUUGAUGUAAACAUGAGAAGUAGGGAUUGCCAUGCAAUGGAUGCACUAGAGCUAUGAAUGCUCAACAAAAGAACACUAGUGGGUGUGCAUCCAACUCGCUUGCUCACGAAGACCUAGGGCAUUUGAGGAAGCCCAUCGUAGGAAUAUACAAGCCAAGUUCUAUAAUGAAAAAUUCCCACUAGUAUGAAAAGACAACUUAUGAGACUCACUACAUGAAGAACAAGGUGCUACUUUGAAGCACAAUAUAUGAGACUCACUACAUGAAGAACAAGGUGCUACUUUGAAGCACAAUAUAUGAGACUCACUACAUGAAGAACAAGGUGCUACUUUGAAGCACAAGUGUGGAAAAAGAGAUAGUAGCAUUGCCCUUUUUAAUUUUCUCUUUUUUUUUCUUUUUUUUGGGCCUUUCUUUUUUUCUUUUGGCCUUUCUCUUUUUUUUAUUUGGGCAAUGCUCUAAUAAUGAUGAUCAUCACACUUCUAAUGAUUACAACACAAGGAUUAUAACUCGAAACUUAGAACAAGAUAUGACUCUAUAUGAAUGCCUCCGGCGGUGUACCGGGAUGGUGCAAUGAAUCAAGAGUGACAUGUAUGGAAAAUAAUGCAUGGUGGCUUUGCCACAAAUACGAUGUCAACUACAAGAUCAUGCAAUGGCAAUAUGACAAAAGUAAUGUAUGUCAUGAUGAUGAUGGUGGAAGUUGCAUGGCAAUAUAUCUUGGAAUGGCUAUGGAAAUGCCAUGAUAGGUAGGUAUGGUGGCUGUUUUGAGGAAGAUAUAAGGAGGUUUAUGUGAUAGAGUAUAUCGUAUCACGGGGUUUGGAUGCACCGCCGAAGUUUGCGCCAACUCUCAAGGUGAAAAGGGGCAAUGCACGGUACCGAAGAGGCUAGCAAAGGUGGAAAGGUGAGAGUGCGUAUAAUCCAUGGACUCAACAUUAGUCAAAAGAACUCAUAUACUUAUUGCAAAAAUUUAGAAGUCAUCAAAAAUCAAGUAUUACGCGCAUGCUCCUAGGGGGAUAGAUUGGUAGGAAAAGACCAUCGCUCGUCCCCGACCACCACUCAUAAGGAUGCACAAGCCAGGUACACUUCGUGUUUCAAAUUUGUUACACAACUUUAACCAUACGUGCAUGCUACGGGAUUUGCAAACUUCAACACAAGUAUUUCUCAAAUUAAUAAUCACCCAACUAGCAUGACUUUGAUAUUAUCACCUCCAUAUCUCAAAACAAUUAUCAAGCAUCAAACUUAUCUUAGUAUUCAAUUCACUCAAAAGAAAGUUUCACAUAUCUUGAACACCAAGUAUAUUAACAUUAAGCAAAAUUACCAUGCUAUUAAAGACUCUCAAAAUAAUCUAAGUGAAGCAUGAGAGAUCAAUAGUUUCUUUAAAACAAAUCCACCACCGUGCUCUAAAAGAUCUAAGUGAAGUGCUAGAGCAAAAAUUAUCACGCUCAAAAGAUAUAAGUGAAGCGCUAUGAGCAAAACUAUCAAGCUCAAAAGAUAUAAGUGAAGCACAUAGAGUAUUCUAACAAUUUACAAUUCAUAUAUGGCUCUCUCAAAAGAUGUGUACAGCAAGGAUGAUUAUGGUAGACUAACAAGCAAAGACACAAAUAAUACGAGACGCUCCAAGCAAAACACAUAUCAUGUUGGUGAAUAAAAAUAUAGCUCCAAGUAAAUUACCGAUGGAAGUGGACGAAAGAGGGGAUGCCUUCCGGGGCAUCCCCAAGCUUUGACUUUUUGGUGUCCUUGGAUUAUCUUGGGGGUGCCAUGGGCAUCCCCAAGCUUAGGCUCUUGCCAUUCCUUGUUCCAUAAUCCAUCAAAACAAUUCACCCAAAACUUGAAAACUUCACAACACAAAACUCAACAGAAAUCUCGUGAGCUCCGUUAGAGAAAGAAAACAAAAGACUACUUCAAGGUACUGUAAUGAACUCAUUCUUUAUUUAUAUUGGUGUUAAACCUACUGUAUUCCAACUUCUCUAUGGCUUAUAAACUAAUUUACUAGCCAUAGAUUCAUCAAAAUAAGCAAACAACACACGAAAAACAGAAUCUGUCAAAAACAGAACAAUCUGUAGCAAUCUGUAACUAACGCAAACUUAUGGAACUCUAACAAUUAUACCAAAAUAGGAAGUCCUGGACAAUUUGUUUAUUGAUCAGCAGCAAAAGGAAUAAACGCAAAAGCACGUUCCUGUGAUUUAUCAUAACUAAAUUCGUGCGCGCAAAGUUUCUGUUUUUCAGCAGAAUCAAAUCAACUAUCAUCGUAGGUUAUCCUAUAGGUUCUACUUGGCACAAACACUAAUUAAAACAUAAAACCUCAUCCAAACAGAAGGUAUAUGGAUUAUUUAUUCCUAAACAGAAUCAAAAACAAAAAACACAAAAUAAAAAAUAAAAUUGGGUUGCCUCCCAACAAGCGCUAUCGUUUAACGCCCCUAGCUAGGCAUAAAAGCAAGGAUAGAUCUAGGUAUUGCCAUCUUUGGUUUUCAUUUUUUUGGCGGAGUCAUGCUCGAAUCCGGGAGGUUCUUUCCGCUUCCCUUCAUAUUCGGAAAUUUUUAGAUCUAAAGAAUCCAACCGCUUAUUACAAAGAGUAAUCAACAUAUUCAUGCGGUGAAGAUUUUCGGUAACACUUUUAAGAGGCUCAAGAGAUUUUUGUAAAAAAUUUAUUACUUCGCAAAUCUUCUCAAACACUUGGGUUUCUUCUUGGGUAGGAUGAGAUCCUCCCUUUUGGGGUAGUGUUCCCACUAUUCCCUCUAUAAUUUCAUGCGCAAUACUGGGAUCAAUCUCAAUGAAAUUUCCCUUGGCAAUGCAAUCCAAGAGUUGUCUAUGCGUCAUAUUUAACCCAACAUAAAAAUUGCAAAGAAGAAUUCUAAAGUUCACCUCAAGGGUGCACUUACGAUAAGAUUCCAUCAUCCUAUACCAAGCAUCUUUUAAGUUUUCUCCUUGACUUUGCUUGAAGUGAAGAACUUCAAACUCGGGAGACAUAGGAGCGGAUAAGGAAUUGGACAUAAAGACAAGCAAACUAACACACGAGCAAGCAGAAAGGCAAACGGGAAAGAGAGGAGGAGAUUGGGAAAGAGAGGAAAAAUAAAACCGCAAGGGUGAAGUGGGGGGAGACGAAAACGAGAGGCAAAUGGCAAAUAAUGUAAUGCGAGAGAUAGGGAUUGCGAUGGGUACUUGGUAUGGUUGACUUGCUUGCGUGAGCCUCCCCGGCAACGGCGCCAGAUAUUCUUCUUGCUACCUCUUGAGCACUGCGUUGGAUUUCCCCGAAGAGGAGAGGAUGAUGCAGCAAAGUAGCGUAAGUAUUUCCCUCAGUUUUUGAGAACCAAGGUAUCAAUCCAGUAGGAGACCACGCACAAGUCCCUUGUACCUACACAAAACGAUAGCAACUCGCAACCAACGCUUAGGGGUUGUCAAUCCCUUCACGGUCACUUACGAGAGUGAGAUAUGAUAGAGAUAAUAUUUUUGGUAUUUUUGAUAGAUAGAUGCAAAGUAAAAAGUAAAGGCAAAGUAAAAACAAAGCAAGUAAAUAAAGUGAUAUAGAUUGAUAUGAUGAGAAUAGACCCGGGGGCCAUAGGUUUCACUAGUGGCUUCUCUCAAGAGCAUAAGUAGUCUGUGGUGGGUGAACAAAUUACUGUUGGGCAAUUGACAGAAAUGAGCAUAGUUAUGAGUAUAUCUAGGCAAUGAUCAUGUAUAUAGGCAUCACGUCCAAAACAAGUAGAUCGAAACGAUUCUGCAUCUACUACUAUUACUCCACUCAUCGACCGCUAUCCAGCAUGCAUCUAGAGUAUUAAGUUAAAAACAGAGUAACGCCGUAAGCAAGAUGACAUGAUGUAGAGGGAUAAAUUCAUGCAAUAUGAUAAAAACCCAUCUUGUUAUCCUCGAUGGCAACAAUACAAUACGUGCCUUGCUGCCCCUUCUAUCACUGGGUAAGGACACCGCAAGAUUGAACCCAAAGCUAAGCACUUCUCCCAUUGCAAGAACUACCAAUCUAGUUGGCCAAACCAAAAAGGAUAUUUCGAAGAGACUUGCAAAGAUAACUCAAUCAUACAUAAAAGAAUUCAGAGAAGAAUCAAAUAUUUUCCAUAGAUAAUACUAGAUCAUAAACCCACAAUUCAUCGGUCUCAACAAACACACCGCAAAAAGAAGAUUACAUCGAAUAGAUAUCCACGAGAGAGGGGGAGAACAUUGUAUUGAGAUCCAAAAAGAGAGAAGAAGCCAUCUAGCUACUAGCUAUGGACCCGAAGGUCUGAAGUAAACUACUCACACUUCAUCGGAGGGGCUAUGGUGAUGAUGUAGAAGCCCUCCAUGGUGGAUGCCCCCUCCGGCGGAGCUCUGGAACAGGCCCCAAGAUGGGAUCUCGUGGAUACAGAAGGUUGCGGCGGUGGAAUUAGGUUUUUGGCUCCUGUUCUGAUCGUUCGGGGAUACGUAGGUAUAUAUAGGAGGAAGGAGUACGUCGAUGGAGCUCCGAGGGGCCCACGAGGUAGGGGGGCGCCCUCCACCCUCGUGACCUCCUCGGACACUGCUUGGAGUAGGGUCCAAGUCUCCUGGAUCACGUUCAGUUGGAAAAUCACGAUCCCGAAGGUUUCAUUCCGUUUGGACUCCGUUUGAUAUUCUAUUUCUUCGAAAUACUGAAAAAGGCAAAAACAGCAAUUCUGGAUGGGCCUCCGGUUAAUAGGUUAGUCCCAAAAGUAAUAUAAAAGUGGAAAAUAAAGCCCAAUAUAGUCCAAAACAGUAGAUAAAGUAGAAUGGAGCAAUAAAAAAUUAUAGAUGCGUUGGAGACGUAUCAGUUUUCCUCGUAGAUCUCCUGAUUCCCCGACUCUGAGGUGGCGUGUGCCGCGGCCACGGCGGCAGUAAGGCUCUUUGCAUGCUCGACGAGGCGCUCCUCUUCCUCCUGCAAGAACUCGGUGUAGCGCGCAAGGUCGCAAACGCACGUGCCGGCAUCCACCUCCGCCUCCCACCUUCGGUGGCGGUGGCAGAGUGGGUGAUGACCCCCGCGGUCGAUGGUGGGCUAGCGGCCACGACCACCACCUCCCGCCUUCGUGCCGUGGUGGCGGAGCGGGUGAUGGACACGGUGGCCGGCAGUGGGGUGGCGGCCACGACGGCCACCUCCUGCCUUCGGGCCGCGGCGGCAAAGCGGGCGAUGGACCUGGCUUUCAACAGCGGUGUGGCGGCAAUGGAGGCCGGCAACAGCUGCCGACGGGCACUGGCAGUAGAGCGUGUGGUGGGUGUUCCACGCAAACCCAACAGGGGUGCCACAUGCACUAGACUACGCCGGGGACUGCGCCGUCGCCACGGUGUAGCCUCCCAGCUGAAGCCGUCGUACGAUGACGGCGGAGUGGCUGAGCGACCACGACGGACCGGUGCCAUUGGCGAUUGUGGGAGAAGCACACGAUAUAAGCUAUAGGGAGGGAGGGGAAAAUCCGACGAAGGACUGCCGACUGUGAGGGUUUUUAUAGCAGGCCGGUAAGCAUUGGGAUUUUGGGGGAUUACACCUAGUCGGGCGAGAAGCUUGCACAGGAACCUGCGAGGUUGCGCGGGAAUGGACGCACCGACGAUUCAUUGGCACCACCGUUUGGCCAAAAGAAUGCUCCUGCACACUGCGCAAGCUUGUGUUGUAAGCCAUCUGCGGCAGCGGGGUGACAAGACGUGCGAGAGGAGGACGAAAGGCCACGUACACAUACAGUUAAUAAAAAAAAUUUGCGAUUGAAUUACCUACUGUACACCCGUCCUGGUUUAUAAGUAGGAUUUAACUAAUAAAAUACGAAUGCAUGUCGCCAAAGAUUAUAUAGUUGGAUUCGUAUUUGAACAUAGUUUCCAAUUAUAUAAUUUUUAUAACAUGCAUUAACAUUUUGUUGGUUAAAUUUGACGGCAAAGUAUGGCACAUAAUAUAAAGGGGACUAUAGACCAAGAUGGAGGUAGUAGCACACGGCCGUUCUCUACGCAGCGAUGCAAGUGUUGGCCGGCUUGUAGGCGACCAGUUUCUGCGUGUUCAACUGCUCUAUGUGUGUGGUUGCUUGCGGUUGAGGCGGCCGUGGCGCGCUCUGCUCGCGUCCGGCCGCACGCGCUCUGCCCUAUAGCGUCCCUCCGGGUGCUCUGCCCUCGUCCCUCCAUGCGCGCUGCCAGUGUUUGGGGCCGGCGCACGAUCACGCACGUUCAUGUGCAUGCGGUUGCGCCGGGCACGGCUCCACAAUGCAGUUACACGAUGCAAAAAAUUCCAUGCGGACACACCGAGAAUCCAGGCCACCCGGCCCCCAUUUAUUCCUGCAGCCAUUUACCUUCAUCUCUCGUGUCACACGACACAAUAAGCACCUCCACGACGACACAUACAAAGAGGACAUCCAGCGGUUCCAAUGGCGAUCCCCGUGGCUCCAAUGGCGCUCCCAGCGGCCGACGACGACAAUGGCGGGCAGUUCACCAUGCAUCACGUAGUGGACACCCACGCGAGCGGAAAGGCCCUCUCUGUGGUGUACACGAACGAUCCGGUGUCGGUGGAGAGCUCCAUCCAAACUAUGGAGCAGUUCCUUGCCGAGGACAAGUACCAAGUGGUCGGCUCCGACCUCGAGUACACCAUCGGUCGUGCCGGGCACGAUCAGAAGGUUGACGUCGCCCAAUUGUGCAUGCGACAUGAUGUCCUCGUCUACCACUACCACCUGGCCACAAGGCCUUGCGAGCGUUUCUCCAGUUUUAUCAAGAGCUCUGACUACAAGUUCGCUGCGGUGGACACCACCAACUAUCUAAAAGCGCUCAAGGUUUCGGGCUUGAAAUGCCCGAAUCUUGUCAACAUCCAGGACCACUACAAGGUCUGAGGCAGCGCCAUGAACAAACUGAACUCCCUGGUUGACCUUGCCUUGGUCAUCAUCAACCCCUACUACAAGAAGAUGAAGGAUGAGAGCAAGAAGGACAAGGACAUCUGGCACAAUGUUUGGCAUAAGAGACUGGAUGAAGAGCACGUCAAGUACGCGGCCAAUGACGCGUACACAAGCUACGAGAUGUACAAGCGGAUCGUUGACAUGAGGAAGUGUCUUGUUCAGGACCGAGCCGAGGGAUCGAACCAUAGAGCAGUGGCGGGAGCGUCACAAGAAGUAGAUGACUAGACGAUCGUUUCUCAUACUUUAGAAUGCAUAAUAGACUGGUUGUAUAUAUAUAUAUAUAUAUAUAUAUAUAUAUAUAUAUAUAUAUAUAUAUAUAUAUAUAUAUAUAUAUAUAUGUAUUGCUAAUAUUAGCGUAUAAUUAUUCUGAUAACACUUCCGCACUGCACGCUCAAUGCGAGGGCACUGCAUCCCUAUCAAACGAGCACUGCAAUGUCAUCAGAAAAAACUGCAUGCAUUUCUUCGGCAUUGUUUUCGCUCCAGUUUCGAAACCGUUCGUCGGAAUGAGGCGUAUAAUAUAUCGUUGGAUAGCUAUGGAAAAUGCGCUACCUAGUCAUGUUGAACACUUUUCGAGAUUCAUCGCGGUUUAAGAGCAGUUUUAAAAACAGUACACGCAUGACGGGAUGCAGCGAGCGUAUUUUCGCGAUUUUUUCUAAACCGCACAUCGGAAUGAAGAAAAUGAUACGGUGUUGGAAAUAUAUCAUCGAGCCGCAUCUUUUUCACAUCUACCAUUUUCUCUAAUUCAUUACGGUUUAAGAGCAGUUUUAAAUUUAGCAAAUUGCGGAAUUCUGUUUUUUCGAAUUUUUGUACUGUUUUCACUCUAGUUUUUGAAUCGUUUGUCGAAACGAGGCGUGUGAUCUGCCGUUGGAAAGCUAUUGACGAGGCACAACUUUCAUAUGUUCAAAUCCUUUUGAGAUUCCUUAUGGUUUUUAGUUAAUUUUGAAAAUCGUGCGGCUGACGACGAGAGGCAUCGGUCGUUUUUCACGAAAUUUUUAUAAACCGCUGGUCAGAGUGAUUCAAAUUAUACACCGUUGGAAAGAUAUUGAUGAGGCGCAACUUUUUCAUGUAGAACACUCUCUCUGAUUCUUUACGGUUUAAGAGCAAUUUUGAUUUUAACGAAAUGUGGACAUUGUUUUUUCACGACACUAAAAUCGUCGUUUGUACUGCAUCAGACAACAAACCACACUGCUUUGAACUAAAAAUAACACUUCAUCAGACGGACAAGUGCACUGCAUCAUUUCUUUUUUGUGGUACAUAUUUUUUCCCAAAACGAGGUAGCAAACCACACUUCUUUAGACUAAACCCGCACUUCAUCAGACGGACAAGUGCACUGCAUGAUUUCUUUUUUGUGGGGCGUAAAUUUUCCCAAACAAGGUGGAGUGCACUUCAUGUCAAGCAUUGGUGCAUCGUAAUCGUAUGAAAAAUGAACCUCGAGACUAGCGUAACGGGAAAGUGAACCGCCUGAGUUUUUUCCAAACUCAAUUUCUUUUACGUGCGUAGAUCCAGCAAGUGGAUCACAUGGACUGAGCGAGUGAACUAAAUCUAAUAAGAAGCGAGCUUUUUUUUUAAGAUGUUUUUGUUUUCUGUUUACGAAAUGAACCACGGAGGAUUUUAUAGCGAACAACAUGACACUACAAAGUGAGCUUCAAAAAUUUACAUAUCAGACACUUUCUCUAUUUACCAAGUGGGUGCCUCUAAUGGGAAUUACUUUUUCCUCUUUUUUCAUAAAGUGAAGCACCAACCACCACAAAAUGAACCAAACAGCUUUUUUACAAAUAAAAAAUACCUAAAAAACUUCACAGACGAACCACGCGAGCCACAAGCAGUGCACCAACGGACUGUGUCUUUUUUAAUAAUUUUUUACAUUUUCUCUCUAACACAUUCAAGAAGAAAGUGAACUUAAAAAAAUGAUCCUUUUUCUUCUGUAGUUUCCCGGUGGACUGAACGGUUGUACACGCUUGCUACUGCUCUUUCCCUGUAGGGGAUUUGAAUCACACCAUAGCGCACUGAAGCUAACUGAACGCAUAGGCGGAGCAGAAGGCAUGGCCAAGUAAACACCUGGGAGGAACUUAAAUGCACUACAUGCCCGCUUGGGCCAGACUACAUGUCGCACGCUCUAACCACGGCAAGUAGACUGCACACGCAUGGACUCCAUCACCAGCGACGGUGCUCAGCCGUUGCUCACACAAUGGACUGCAUGCACGAGCCGCACGUAACACAUGUCGUUCGUCGCCAAACUACACAACACAUAUAUGCUCCAAACUGCAUCUCACUAGAUAGCCGCGCGUAACGUAUGCUGUUCGUUCUGCUCGCUAUCACAUGCGGUGGUAGCCUCCUCUGGACUAGAGAAGACACACCUGGGGGGUGCCAGUGGGUGCCGUCAUUGGGUGAAGCAGGGUGGGAAGUGCCCCAAUGGUGACAUGCCCUGAUGCAGGGCGCUGGUGGCGGCUGACGGCAGAGGAGGGAAGCGAUGGGGCCAUCCAUCAAAAUCGGAAUGCACCAACUACAGCUUCAGAUCGGAGUCGGGCCGGGGAGGGAGAGCCGCUUUUGGCAGGUAGCCGGCUGGGGGAGGAAGAGCCACCACAACUGUAGUACUCACGCGUGCAUGCCGGAUUGCAUGCCGUGCUGCCCCACCUUGGAUCCAUGGCAGAGCUACCUUACAGCCACAACCGUACUGCACGGACACACAUGCCGGACUGCAUGGUCGUGCUACCUCUCCAUGGUUCCAUUGCAGAGAGGCCGCUGGUCUGCCGUGCUGCAAAAGAGCAAGGGGCUCGGGGGAGGAAGGUUUCUGGGGAGUCACGGGGCCGCGCAAGGUCCAGAGUGGUGGAAGGCGGGGAUAGAUGCGACGGCGCAAGGCCGGUGUGGUGGAAGGUGGGGACGGAUGAGGCGGUGCGAGGCCGGCGUGGUGGAAGACGACGACGGCCGCGGCGACGAGAGGCUAGAGUGGUGAGGCGGGGACGGCUGCGGCGGCACGAGGCCGGAGUGGUGGAAGGCAGGGGCUGACGACUUGGUUUCGGGCGCCCAAGGGAGGACGGGGAAAACAUGGAAGGCCGGAUCUAUCGCCGGCCAGGACGUAGCAGCGAGAUCCGGCCAGAGGAAGGUGGAGGGGGUGGGCACGGCGGCCAGGCAGCAAAGAAGAAGGUGCAGGGGGUGGGCAUGGCGGCCAGCCGACGAAGAAGAAGCUGGGGAUGGGAGUGGGCGGGCGCGGGAUGGGGUUGGUCGGGAGGAAGAUAAGUUGGGGAGGUUCAGUUUGCUUCGGUCGGGAGUCGGGCUAGCGACGGCCUGGCGCUGAGAGCGUGGCGGCGCAGCGAGGGAGGUUGAGGGGGUUGGCUGGAGAAGGUCAGGGGAUUUGGGGGGCGUAGUGUGCGGUUGGAGACGGGAGGAAGAAGCGGUCGUGGGUGUUCAGGUGGGUCGGUUGAGUACGGUGUUAGUAGAAUAAGGCUAGGUGUUAGCAGAAUAAGGUCUUAAGGGGUGUUAUUAGAAUAGACCCAUCCUAUAUUAGCAGAAUAGAUCGGCUAUAGAUAGACCAAAUCACAUGAUUUAUUAGCAGCAAUCGUCUGUGUUAUUAUUGGUCUUCACAUACAUUUCUGAUGACGGACCUGUUUGCCGCGUAUCACACACAUAUUGUUCAGUUAAACCGUUUCCAUUGUAUUGCACAAUAAAUGCUGCAAAGAGGGAUCUACAACAGCAAGGACCGGCUUCCCUACCGAUAGCUCAUCUAACAAAACUCCCAAGUUAAGUUUGCUGAAGCUGGAGUAGUCAUGAGAUGGGUGACUGAAUGGGAAGUGGACUCAAUAUUAACUAGUUGGAUGGGCAACUGCAAAGGUUUAUUAUACACCUUUGUAUUUAUAAACCUUUGGACCCAUCCCAUCUAGUUAAUAUCUUGAUCUUUGUUUUGUAAUUUUUGACAUUUUUUGUUUUCUGAACACAUGUUGAUUGGCUUGAAGAAGGUCUAUCUUGUUACUUUUUGAUAAAUGUUUAUACGCAAGCAACUAGUUUGCAUUUUUUAAAGUUUUUUAUACGAACAGAAUCGCACACGCACUUGCUAUAGUAACCGUCUGUGUUAUAAUUUCUCAUCGCAAAUAGUUCAUCCCAGUGGGCUGUUUGUUGCAUAUCACACACAUCUGGUUACACGAAUCGUUUGUGUUCUUUUAGCUGAUCGCAAAUGCCGCAUAUCACACACAUCUUGUUAAGAUGAACCGUUUCCAUUCUCUUGCCUAAUCGAAAAUAGUUUGUCCGAGUGAACCGUAUGCCAUAUAUGACUCACACCUUGAUCUGGCUGACCGUUUCUGUUGCAUUCCCUAAUAGCACACAGUUCAUCGGAGGAAUUGUAUGUCGUAUAUCGCACACACAUUGAUAUGGCUGCCCGUUUAUGUUGUUCUUCCUCAUCGCAAACUGUUCUUUUGGAUCAACCGUAUGCCUGCAUUGCACACGCAACUAAAAUCGGAACCGUGUUUGAUGCAUCGGUCAUCGCAAACGUUUUGGACAUUUUUGACGGUUCUCUGACACCAUCGUUUGCGAUUAUUGCAUCGCACACAGUUUCUCGAAGGGUCUCUGAUUGUAGUGUCGCGUUAGCACCAUCCCGCAGUAGUGACUUUUGUUACUUGCUAUCUUGCUAUUUUUUAUUGUUCCUAUUACAAAAAUCAAUAUCUACUAUCAUUACUACGCUUUUACUACCAUCUCUUCGCUGAACUAGUGCACCUAUACAAAUUACCAUUGUAUUUGGUGUGUUGGAGACACAAGAGACUUUUUAUUAUUUGGUUACAGGGUUGUUUGAGAGAGACCAUCUUCAUCCUACGCCUCCCACGGAUUGAUAAAACUUAGGUCAUCCACUUGAGAGAAAAUUGCUAUUGUCCUACAAAACUCUAUGCUUGAAGGCCCAACACGAGUCUAAGAACAAGUUGUGUAGUAGACAUCAAGCUUUUUUCUGGCGCCGUUGCCAAGGAGGUGAGUGCUUGAAGGUAUAUCUUUAAAUCUUGCAAUUGAAUCUUUUAGUUUCUUGUUUUAUCACUAGUUUGGUUCAUAAAAAAAACUACAAAAAAUGGAAUUGAGGUGGCCUCAUAUUAUUCGUCUUUAUAAUGUCUUUCUUGAAAAUGAUGAAAAGAAAAUUUGUGCUCAACUGAUAGAAGAAGAAUUCAAUAAAAUGGUUGGCAUAAAUGAUGAGCAUGAUUGCAGUGUUUCUAGUAUGAAUUUUUUGAAUAUCCAUGAUGCUAAUGAUAUCCAAAGCUACAAGUUUGGGGAUGCUAUAUUUGAUGAAGAUGAUAUUUUACUUCCCCAAGUUUUGAUGAGAAAAUUUAUUAUGAUGAAAGCAUGCCUCCUAUUUUAUGAUGAUUAUAUUAAUGAAAGUGGAUUUGGAAGAGUGUCAACUCUAUCUACUAAUGAUCCCACUAUUUUGGAGGGUGUUGAAUCUUAUUGUAAUAAUUACGAAAGUGGAUUUGGAGAGGUCAUGACUUUAUUUAGUGAUGAUUCCACUAUUUCGGAAGAUGUUUUAAUUGACUAUGAUGAGAACAAAGUUGCUACUUAUGAUGAUUAUUGUGAUGAUACUUAUGUUAUAGAAAUUAGUUGCUACUCUCUUAGUGUGGAAACAAUUUAGAGUAUUCGAGUUUCCUAUGAUACUCCCACUAUUAUGAAUGAGAAUAGAAUUGCUUAUGUGGAGAGUAAUAAAAAUACUAUGGUUGGGGAUCAUGAAAGGAAUGCUUUGUGUGAUAGUUAUAUUGAUGAAUUCAUUCAUGAUGCUACUGAAAAUUAUUAUGAGAGAGGAACUUGUGAUACAUGAUGCUCUCUUUAUGUUUCAAUUCUUUACUUUUAUGUGAGCAUCAUUGAAAUCAUCAUGCCUAGCUAAAUAGGCAUUAAAGAAAAGCGUUUGUUGGGAUAAUUAAGCUAUUGUAGUAAUCAUUUUUAUAGCUUUUGUUUCAAUAAAGUGCCAAGUAAUGCUUUUGGGAUAGUGUGGAUGAUAGUUGACUUGAUUCUGUGCAAAAACAAAAACUUUUGCUUCUAGUAACAAAAUUCUUUAAAUUUACUGGGACGCGAUAAAAUUCUGAAUUUUUUAUAGACAAUUGAUAUACAAAUUGCCUACGUUGUCCUAAUUGUUCAUUAUUUUUGAACCUGCAGAAGUAUGGUCAUUGUCCAAAUCAUUACAGACUGUUCUGUUUCUGACAGAUUUUGUUUUCAAUGCAUAGUUUGCUUGUUUUACUGUUUCCAUAGCUUAUAUUUAAGUGAUAUAAAUUGUGGAAAUGAUAAGGUAUAGUAGGUCUUGUGUGAUAACAAUUAUGAAUCUUGUCUUUGACAGUACCAAAGUGAAUGGUUUGCUCUUUAUCAUACUAACCUAUCUCACGAAGUUCCGUUAAGUUUUGUGUGAUUGAAGUUUUCAAGUUUUGGGUGAGAUAUUGAUAUGAGGAGAAUAAGGUGUGGCAAGAACAUAAGAUUGGGGAUGCCCAAUGCACACCAAGGUAAUAUUCAAGGAAGACCAAGCAACUAAGCUUGGGGAUGCCUCGGAACGCAUUCCCUCAUUCGUCUCCAACAUUAUCGGUAACCUCACUUGGAGCUAUGUUUUCAUUCGUCACAUGAUAUGAGUUUUGCUUGGAGCAUCAUUUUCUUUUAUUAGGAUUUGCUUGCUGUUAUUUAGAGUAAUUUUUGCAUCUUUAAUUUUCAAUAUAAAUGUCAAGGAUAGCCUUUACCAUGCUUAUUUUGCAAGUCGAUUUGUUGUUGUUUUGAAAACAGAAAGUUUUCUAUCAUUGUCUGAAUUUUUUUUAAAAAAUCAGAACAUGAUAAAAUCUUGAAAUUUCUACACAUUAAGAUAAAAUAAAUUUUCUGCAGUGUGGUAAUUUUUCAGAAUUUUUGGAGUUAAGGAAGUAUGAAUCUUCUUGCAUUCUUUAGAGACUGUACUGUUUUGACAGAUUGAUGUUAUGUCUGCAUUGUUUGCAUAUGUUUGCUUGUUUAAUGAUUCUAUUUGAUCAUAGCACUAUUAAAUAUGCAGAGGCAUUUAGUAUGCAAUGUUAAAUAAUAAUUUUAGUGAUUUUCUACAGUAAAGAAUGGUAAGGUUUUUGCAUUGAUUUAUACUAACUUAUCUCACGAGUUCUUGUUGAGUUUUGUGUGGAUGAAGUUUUUAAGAUUUAGGGAAACCUUGAUACAAAAGAAAUUAAGGAGACACAAAAGCUCAAGCUUGGGGAUGCCCAAGGCAUCCCAAGAUAAUAUUUCAAUAAGUCUCAAGCAUCUAAGCUUGGGGAUGCCCCGGUAGGCAUCCCACCUUUCUUCUUUAACAAUUAUUGGUUAUUAUCAAUUGAGCCUAAGUAUUUGCUUCUUCACAUGUGUUGUGCUAUUCUUGGAAUGUCAUUUUGUUUUGUUUCGCUUGCUGUUUUAAUAAAAUACUUAGAUCCGAAAGUUUUCUAAACAAGAGAGAGUCCUCAAAUGGUUACCCAUUUACUUAACUACUCACUUGAUCUUCACUUAUAUCUUUUUAAAGUAGCUUGUCAUUUACUCUUGUGCUUCACUUAUAUCCUAUGAGUAAAUUGUUGAAUGAAUUGAAUAUCAUGAAGUUGAAAUUAAAUCAUUCAUAUUAUGCCUAGUAGUAGCUUCACAUUUAGUUUAGAAAGUGAAAUAUUUUGAAGCUUGACAAUCAUAAUAUUGGUCAUACAAGCAAUUCAUGAAUGAUUAGUAUAAGGAAGAGAACUUUCACAUGCAAAUAUAUUAUCUUGGACAUCUUCUGUGAUUGUGAAUACCCAUUAAUUAUUUUCAAACUUGAGCAAAUUAGUUGAAGUUGGACAAGGAAGACAACGUAAUGAGUUAUGUUUGGGUAUAUUUGCAUAGAAGUUAUAUUGUUAUGGAUCCUCCAACAUGUGGUGUUUUCCUAGGAUCUUUUGCUAGCCAAAAAUUUGUACUAAGUAGAGAUACUACAUGUGCAUCAAAAACCCUUAAACCUAGUUUCUUGCCAUGAGUGUCCACUAUACCUACCCAUGGAUCGAAUAAGAUCCUUCAAGUAAGUUGCCAUCGGUGCAAAAAGGCAAUAAAUAUUGCUUCUAAAUGUGUUUGGUCAUUUAGUGUAAGUGAAAAUUGAGCAUUGUACGAACUUGUGAUGGCAAAGUAAUAAAAGCGACGGACUACAUAAUAAAUAUUGCUAUCAUAAGGGGCAAUAUAACAUGAUGUUCUUUUGCAUUAAGGGAUUAUGUAUACAAAACCAGAAAGCGCAUGACAACCUCUGCUUCCCUCUGCGAAGGGCCUAUCUUUUACUUUUCAGUAUUUUGUUUUAUGCAAAGAGUCAAUAGUAUGAAUUCUCAUUUCAAUCUCAACUAUUCUCUAGUUGGCAAGCAUCAUGUGGUGGGGAAAGAUCUAGGCACAUAUGACCAGUCAAAUAUAUUUGAUCAUGUAUUAUUAUUGUUGACAAUUAUCUCAAUGAUAAAUGAGUUGGGAGGCAAAAUAUUAGGCCCCUAUCUUUCUCUGUGUUCGAUGAAUGCCAUUUGUCCUAAGAAUAUGCUUUGAGUACUAGCAAUCAUGGAAGACUAUAUGAUGAUUGAGUAUGUGGAGCUCUUACUUAAACUUUGUUGAAUAAGUUGAAUAGCAAUUGUUUGGUGACUAGGAAUAUAGGUUGUUGAGUUUCAAGAGAAUUCAUUGUUUGAACCUUAACAUGUGAAUUGGUUGCUACUUUAACAUGAGAAGUUUUAUGAGAAAGAAUUGCUGUUAUGAUGCAAGAAAAAGUGAUUGAAAUUAUCAUUGAUGAAACUUAUGCACUUUGCUAGCAUUCACACUUCAUAAAUUAUUAGUUUUAUCAUUUACCUACUCGAGGACGAGUAGUAAUUAAGCUUGGGGAUGUUGAUACAUCUCCAACGUAUCCAUAAUUUAUGAAGUAUUCAUGCCAUGGUUACAACAAUUUUAUAUGGUUUUGGUAUAAUUUGCAUGGAACUAACCUGGAUUGACCCUGUUUUCAGCAAAACUAUCAUGGGUGUUGUUUUUUUGUGCAGAAAUGGAAGUUCUCCAAAUGAACUACCAUGGACUGGUCACUUGAGCGGAACUGCCCCAAGUAUUUGGCGGAUAAGAAGGAUUGCAAAGUGAAAGGUAUAUUUGAUAUAUGUGUUAUUAAUGUGUACUUAACUAAUGCUCGCAGUAGCGCCUGGGUAUUUGAUACUAGUUCUGUUGCUCAUAUUUGCAACUCGAAAAAGGGGCUACGGAUUAAGCGAAGAUUGGCUAAGGACGAGGUGACGAUGCGCAUGGGAAAUGGUUCUAAAGUCGAUGUGAUCGCGGUCGGCACACUACCUCUACAUCUACCAUCGGGAUUAGUAUUAGACCUAAAUAAUUGUUAUUUGGUGCUAGCGUUGAGCAUGAAAAUUAUAUCUGGAUCUUGUUUAAUGCGAGACGGUUAUUCAUUUAAAUCAGAGAAUAAUGGUUGUUCUAUUUAUAUAAGUAAUAUCUUUUAUGGUCAUGCGCCCUUGCUGAGUGGUCUAUUUUUGUUGAAUCUCGACAGUAGUGAUACACAUAUUCAUAGUGUUGAAGCCAAAAGAUUUAAGUUUAAUAAUGAUAGUGCAACUUAUUUGUGGCACUGCCAUUUGGGUCAUAUCGGUGUAAAGCGCAUGAAGAAACUUCAUGCUGAUGGAUUUUUGGAAUCACUUGAUUAUGAAUCACUUGGUGCUUGCGAAUGGUGCCUUAUGGGCAAGAUGACUAAAACUCCGUUCUCCGGAACAACGGAAUGAGCUACUGACUUGUUGAAAAUAAUACAUACCGAUGUAUGCGGUCCAAUGAGUAUUGAGGCUCGUGGUGGGUAUCAUUAUUUUCUUACCUUCACAGAUGAUUUGAGAAGAUAUGGUUAUAUCUACUUAAUGAAGCAUAAGUCCGAAACAUUUGAAAAGUUCAAAAAAAUUUAGAGUGAAGUGGAAAAUCAUCGUAACAAGAAAAUAAAGUUUCUACGAUCUGAUCGGGGAGGAGAAUAUUUGAGUUACGAGUUUGGUCUUCAUUUGAAACAACAUGGGAUAGUUUCACAAUUUAACGCCACCUGGAACACCACAAUGAAAUGGUGUGUCCGAACAUCAUAACCUUACUUUAUUGGAUAUGGUGCGAUCUAUGAUGUCUCUUACUAAUUUAACGCUAUCGUUUUUGGGGUUAUGCUCUAGAGACGGCUGCAUUCACUUUAAAUAGGGCACUAUCAAAAUCUGUUGAUACGACGCCUUAUGAACUGUGGUUUGGCAAGAAACCAAAGUUGUUGUUUCUUAAAAUUUGGGGCUACGAUGCUUAUGUGAAAAAGCUUCAACCUGAUAAGCUCGAACCCAAAUCGGAGAAGUGCGUCUUCAUAGGAUACCCAAAAGAGACUGUUGGGUACACCUCCUAUAACAGAUUCGAAGGCAAAAUCUUUGUUGCUAAGAAUGGACCCUUUUUAGAGAAGGAGUUUCUCUCGAAAGAAGUGAGUGGGAAGAAAGUAGAACUUGAUGAGGUAAUUGUACCUUUUCCCUUAUUGGAAAGUAGUUCAUCAUAGAAAUCAGUUGUAGUGAUUCCUACACCAAUUAGUGAGGAAGCUAAUGAUGAUGAUCAUGAAGUUUCAGAUCAAGUUACUACCGAACCUAGUAGGUCUUCCAGGUAAGAUCCGCACCAGAGUGGUAUGGUAAUCCUAUUCUGGAAGUCAUGUUACUAGACCAUGAUGAACCUACGAACUAUGAGGAAGCGAUGAUGAGCCCAGAUUCCGCGAAAUGGCUUGAAGUCAUGAAAUCUGAGAUGGGAUCCAUGUAUGAGAACAAAGUGUGGACUUUGGUGGACUUUCCCGAUGAUUGGCAAGCCAUAGAAAAUAAAUGAAUCUUUAAGAAGAAGACCGACACAGAUGGUAAUGUUAUUGUUUACAAAGCUCGACUUGUUGCAAAAGGUUUUCGACAAGUCCAAGGAGUUGACAACGAUGAGACUUUCUCACCCGUAGCGAUGCUUAAGUCUGUCCGAAUCAUGUUAGCAAUUGCUGCAUUUUAUGAUUACGAAAUUUGGCAAAUGAAUGUCAAAACUGCAUUCCCGAAUGGAUUUCUGGAAGAAGAGUUGUAUAUGAUGUAACCGGAAGGUUUUGUCGAUCCAAAGGGUGCUAACAAAGUGUGCAAGCUCCAGCGAUCCAUUUAUGGACUGGUGCAAGCCUCUCAGAGUUGGAAUAAACGCUUUGAUAGUGUGAUCAAAGCAUAUGGUUUUAUACAGACUUUUGGAGAAGCCUGUAUUUUUGAGAAAGCGAGUGGGAACUUUGUAGCAUUUCUAAUCUUAUAUGUAGAUGACAAAUUGUUGAUUGGAAAUGAUAUAGAAUUUCUGGAUAGCAUAAAUGGAUACCUGAAUAAGAGUUUUUCUAUGAAAGACCUCGGAGAAGCUGCUUUCAUAUUGGGCAUCAAGAUUUAUAGAGAUAGAUCAAGACGCUUAAUUGGACUCUCACAAAGCACAUACCUUGAUAAAGUUUUGAAGAAGUUCAAAAUGGAUCAGUCAAAGAAAGGGUUCUUGCCUGUGUUACAAGGUGUGAAGUUGAGUCAGACUCAAUGCCCGACCACUACAAAAGAUAGAGAAAAAAUGAAAGUCAUUCCCUAUGCUUCAGCCAUAGGUUCUAUCAUGUAUGCAAUGUUGUGUACCAGACCUGAUUUAUAUCCUGCUAUAAGCAUAGCAGGGAGGUACCAAAGUAAUUCCGGAAUGGAGCACUGGACAACGGUCAAGAACAUCCUGAAAUACGUGAAAAUGACUAAGGACAUGUUUCUCGUUUAUGAAGGUGAAAAAGAGCUUGUCGUAAACGGUUACGUUGAUGCAAGCUUUGACACUGAUCCAGAUAACUCUAAGUCUCAAACCGGAUACAUAUUUUUAUUCAAUGGAGGAGCUGUCAGUUGGUGCAGUUCCAAGCAGAGCGUCGUGGCGGGAUCUACGUGUGAAGCAGAGUACAUUCCUGCUUCGGAAGCGGCAAAUGAAGGAGUUUGGAUGAAGGAGUUCAUAUCCGAUCUAGGUGUCAUACCUGGUGCAUCGGGUCCAAUGAAAAUCUUUUGUGACAAUACUGGUGCAAUUGUCUUGGCAAAGGAAUCCAGAUUUCACAAGAGAACCAAGCACAUCAAGAGACGCUUCAAUUUCAUCCGUCAUCAAGUGUCGGAAGGGACAUAGAGAUUUGCAAGAUACACACAGAUCUGAAUGUUGCAGACCCGUUGACUAAGCCUCUUCCACGAGCAAAACAUGAUCAGCACCAAAGCUCCAUGGGUGUUAGAAUCAUUACUAUGUAAUCUAGAUUAUUGACUCUAGUGCAUGUGGGAGACUGGAGGAAAUAUGCCCUAGAGGCAAUAAUAAUGUUAUUAUUUAUUUCCUUAAUUCAUGAUAAAAGUUUAUUAUUCAUUCUAGAGUUGUAUUAACCAAAAACUUAGUACAUGUGUGAAUACAUAGAAAAAACAUAUAGUCGCUAGUAUGCCUCUACUUGACUAGCUCAUUAAUCAAAGAUGGUUAUGUUUCCUAACCAUAGACAUGUGUUGUCAUUUAAUUAAUGGGAUCACAUCCCCUUGUUAGAGUCCAGACCAAAAUGGAGCUCUCCCGUGCGUUUGGAUUCUGGACCAUCCGAUCGUUUUUCUGAUGCAAUUCCCGUCGUCGGAUCUCGGGCUCGGCUCACGUGAGGCGUCGGAUAUUUACCAGAUCGCUGUGAGCCGUCUGAUAAAAUUCCAAUGGAAACAUAAUGUAAAUACCGUGCCCCCACCAGGGCAUUUCGGUAAUUUCGCGUAGUGGGGGUAUAAAAGGGGGCCACUCCUUUGACGGAGACCUACCCGCCUCCUCCCUCGCUCGCUCCUGCAGCCGCCUCCUCCCUCGCCCGCUCUGCCGUCGCCUCCUCUACUCUUCCCCCCGCCCGUGCCUCCCUGCCCCGCUCCCGUCCGCCAGCCCCACACCGCCGUCAUCUCGCCUCCGCGUCCUCUUCCUUCCUCUCCCUCCGCUCCGCCCGCGCCCGCUCCCUCCAGGGGCGACAGCGACAAGGACGGUGCGCUGCGCCCGCUCCCUCCGUGAGGCUGACUGACCUUGCCUCGCCGCUCCUCGCCCCAGUCACCGACCCGCUCCUCUGGAGGCGGAGGAACGCCUCGCGGGGUACGCCAUGCUCGUGUGGUUCCUCUUCGAGCACGCCGGGUACAGCCUCGCGUCGGUCCUCUCCAACGCCGUCCUCCUCCUCGCCGUCAUCCUCUUCUUCUGGCCAAGUCCGCCUCGCUGCUCAACAGGUUCGUGCGUUUAUUCCCCACUUUGCUCUGCCUGGCAACUGGCCUGAACUGAAUUACGCCCCUGCUUCACUGUGGCCGUAUGCUCCGUGGUCACUGAUGCAUGUUGUAUACCUACAGAUUAGGACCAAAAUUGGAGAAGUUUCAGCCAUGCAGAUUAGAACUGAAUUAUGCCCUGCUUUACUGUAGUUGUAUGUUGUUACUGCUGAAUUGUUUGGUCCAUUGUUCAAACUAAAGUCGUCCAGUCGGUUUGCUACAAUGUGUAUUACUGUACUUAAGAUGUUUUGUGGAAUUUGGGCAUGAGCACUUCGGAAUUUGGCUGUAGUUUGAGAUUAAUCUUUGGGAGAUGUUAGAGUGGGUUAAGAGAUUGAUCUGCCCGAGGAUCUUCUAAUUUGAUGUUGCAGCAAAGAAGAGGAUGGGAGAUGGGAACGAGGGUGGGCAGUGGUUAGGCAUCGGCGCCGGAGACGCGGAUCCGCGGCGGAGCAGGAUAGGUGACGAGGACGACAUGUGGCUCCUCAUGGCAAAAGUAAUUUCUCACAUCCCCUCCCUGGCUCCCUUCCUCUCCUUCCCUACUGUCGUAACCCCACCAUCCGGCUUGUGGAGAAUUCUCAGUUGAGGAGAGGGUGGCGCUGCCGUAUCCAUUCUCCUCAGACGAUAUGUUUCCAUUUCCUCUUCCUCAAUAUGCCUUCUCCCAGUUGUUCUGGCUUCUUUGAGCAUGGGCUGAUGUGUAGGCUCGAUCUAUUAUUUUGCAGGUCUUGCUCGCCGUUGGUUGUAACAUCAUCGCCUCCUAGACAGGUUUGUCUGAUUCGAGAGGUGUCGUCGUCUGAGAGGUACGCACAUGUGAUUCAAUUUUUUUUGCCCGUCCAUGCAUCUUUAGUUCUAUGUGCUAGGCAGUUGUUUUCUCCGAAUGGCUACAUGUACUUCUAUAGCUUGUUAAUUCCUUCUCAGCUUGUUUUAUUUACAUGUGUAUGGACAAACUAAUGUGUCUUUGUGUUGGUUGUUCCUUCCUUGCCGAUAUGGCAACUAUUUUAGAUGUUGGCCAGUUAAGGUUUGUUGCACAUAAUAGUGGUGAGCCGCCUCAACACCUUGGGUGGUUGUCCUCUCCUUUGUUAUGAGCUUGCUGCCUGUUGCGCUCGCGUCGUCGCCGUUCUUGCGCCGGUGCUGCUGCUAUGUAGGGCUGCUUUGGAUGGUUGCUCAGCGCUGGGGUUGCGGUCUCUACCAUUGACCUUUUGAUACUUGCUUACUGAUGAUUUAAAGUUGUGUCUGUUGCCAAACUUAAUUUGAAAACACUGGCUUGUUUGUAGGGUUCUAUUUUCUUUGCCAAGAACUUGUGAUUUAUGGCUGAUGUCAAUUCUAUUUUUUAGAUGCUUGCGGAGUGCAUGGGGGAGGCGCACAUGGUUGAUGAUUAUGUUCUAGGUUGGCCAUUGAGAGGGACGCCCAAGCAAACUCCGCCAGGUUUCAGGUGCACGCUCUCUAUCCCUGUUUUUGUCUCUCCAACUAAACUUGAGAAUCGUACACUCUGGUAUAUAAAGUUAGUUACUGGGUGUACUAGCAGUUAUGAAAGUUAGAGCACAUACAUGCUUGAUUUUACUUCCUUUCAUACAGGGCAUUCUAUAAUUACUAAGAACUGAUUUGUUGAAGUUUGCCUCCCUAUUUUGUCCAGAUAACUACUUCUGGUUAGACAGGGGAAAUAAAAGGGUAACCAUAGAUAUAUGGUCUAGCAUCACGAGGUUCAGGUUCCUGCUGUUGAUCAACCAUUGCUUCGGUGGAGGUGGGUUAUGCUUGAUUAUGUUCUUCUUUGUAUUUUUGUUCAUGGCCUACACUGGUGUUAUCAUCUAUUCUGUUUCGAAAAUUUCAAUGGCUUAGUUUCAUGUCCCAGUACCACUUGGAGUACAACUAAGUACCUUCUGACAGGAGAAUAAUGCAUGUAUUUACCUAUGGUUAUUGUUUCCUAUCAGAAACAUAUCUAACUUGGGCCCGUUUUAUGUGAUAUUUGUUUUGCAUUUUCUGUGUGUGUAGAUGCUUAAGCUUAAGCUUCUGUCAUUUGCUUCAGUUAGAGAUUAAAGAAGACUGAAAUUGAGUCGAUUGUGUAUAUACUUGAUAUAUAUGAAUGGUCAAAAUACGGAAGUGCUUUUAUGAAAGUCAAAUAUGCAGUUGUCUUCCUGUUUGAAUCUUCAUUGGUGAUUCCAAGUUUGCUGCUUCCCAAAAAGUGGAGAUUUGUAGUACGGACAGAACUUCAACCUAUUCAACAUAGAUCUUACACUGACCAGACAAUAGUAUAAUAUUUUUUUAUUUACGGCCUUAGAAUUGUAUUGCCACAAAAAAACAGAUUUGGAAUCUCAAAGAAAGUAGGUUCUUAUGCUACAGAAUUGUUUCCUCUACUUAUAGUUAACCUCUCUAUUUUGUCGUCUCUAAUAGCCAAGAUGAGUGCUCUACACUUACGACUCAUGCUAACUGAAUUGGUGAUGUUUGUUUCUUCACCUCGAUUGACGCCACAUGUUCCCUCCAGUGAGUCUUGACACCAUGCUACAAUUAAAAUCGCCCUUUGGUUGCUUGAACGCAUUUGAUUAAUUGCAAAUUUUGGUACACUAUUUUGAUAGGAGUGUUCUUUGCUUACGUUCACACUUACUAGGUGUUUUUAGAACGUUUGUUAGAGAAAAGUUCAUGUAUCUGGUACCUUAGCAUUGUUAGCUUUUAAACUUGUUUUUAUGUCCAUCAUCCAGACACCAUCUUAUGUUCUUCUCAAUUUGUGUGCGCGAAAGUUGCAAUUCCUUAAAGCAAUUAUAAAAAAUGAGUUACAAUCAAUUAUUGUUGUAUGUUUCUUUUUAAUAUCUGGAUAUAAAAAUUUAGCUCUGUUAUGCCCCCCUUAAUUUUUUCAUACAGAGCUAAUAUUUGUCGAGGUAUCACAGAAUCUGCUAGCAACUAUGAUCAUUUUUCUCGGUACGAGUUUGCAGCUCGUCGGCAACCACAUCUGAAUCAUUGAGUGCAAACUGGUGAUAGCGAACUGGUCUGUUCGGCAGAAAAGACAAUUUUUUUGUGGCUGCCAGUUACAGGUUUUAUAUACUCUUACAGUCUUCAAUGUUGUUUUCAGCUCAUGUAUACAUCUAUUGCAUGUCCAUUUCCUGUUGUUUUUGUGCAGUCUAUAUUUGAGAGGUUUGACCGUGACCGAAGUGGUAAAAUUGAUGCGUCACAGCUGCGCAAUGCUCUUCUUAUUCAGUUUCUCCAACUGCACUAGACUUGCUCGUGUCUAAAUUCGACAAGACUGGGGCAUUAGCAAAGCAGUCCAAUAUGGUAACUUUAUAGAGAAAGUUGACUCCUUCAAUUUAAUUUGGCUAAUUAUUCCAAAUCAACAGUACAAGCUUUUAUAAUAUCCAAUCUGUUAAAACUUAGUUAACUUUAAGUUUCUAUGUUUAAAAUAUAUAUUGAUUCUCAGUUUUUUCUUCUUAUUUCAGAUUAAAAUUGGUGAAGCAUUCAUGUUCAAAGCUUAGCUUAGUCAGAUUUUAUUCAGGAACUUUAUUUUAUUUAUUAAUGUCAUGGUGUUCAUGUUCUAGGCUUAGCUCAACCAGAUAACAUGUAGGGAGUUCAAUUUUAUUUGUUAAUAUAAUGGUGGAAUCAUAUAUCUCUAAGGUGCAGUCAUUAGUCAAGUGUCAGUAACUUGUUGGUAGUUCUAUUAUGUCAUGAACUAAAAUGUUAAGGAGAUUUCUUCCAUUUUAUGAAUUAACGAUGUGGCCAACUGUUGUGAAGUCUCAAAAAUGAGAAAUGGUUGCCCAUCAGCUGGGCUCUUGAUUUUCUGCUUGGUUUUGUGAAAUACAUUUUGAUUAGGGUUAAGGUUGGCCCUUGGUCUCAGGUUGCCGCGUCGUCCUCGUCUUCGGCUUGCAAGGGAUUGGAUCUGGUGUGAUUGAUUCUUCCACUCGCAAGGUGGGUACAUCCUAUGUUUCGAUUUCUUCCACGAGUUUUGGUUUGCCUUGCCGGAUUGCUUCGCGUCUAUACACGAUUAUACCCAAAGCUCACUUUCCUUUCGUAACUCAUAUGGGGUGGCUCUUGGAUCCGUCUGUCCUGUUUAGGUUAUGAUGGCCGACGAACAACUCCAAGUUCACGGGUCACCGGGCUCGCCGGGUGACGCUGGCUCCAACAGUUGUCUGUGAGCAUUUGCCCAGGUCAAUUGACAUUUGUCAUGGCCCUUCUCUAUUUUUACUUGGAAAAAUAUAGUCCGUAUGUGCCUCAGCGAUUUUUAAAAUCUAAGGAAAUGCUCUAUGCAGAAAAAUACAUAUCUAAUCUAGGGGGUAUAUGUAAUAGCGGUAGAUAAAUAAUACUGUUUAGAUUCAGGCAGUAUACUACAGUCUGCCUUCUGGAGAGGGGGCCUAUGCUUGCUGAGUUCUUUGUAUGGUGCCUUCAGGGAGGUUGUGCGGUGCUGAGCGGAUGUACGGUGAGUUCUUCAUAAUGGAGUCAAGUCACACUUGCCAUAUGGAUCAUAUGUAAGCUCUUCCUGCUAACCUACAGGAGUACAUUUUGAUGCUUCAAGUCUGAACCUAUGUAACUUGUGAACUAAUGCCUCCCUGAGUGUGUGUGUGUGCGCACUAUGUUAAAUCAAAUGCCUUCAGACUGCUAUGAAGUAAUGCCACUUGUCAUAUUGACCAAAUUUCAUUGCUUGAUGGCCAUUUAGAGUUGUCAAAAAUCUGGGACUGUGAAGUCCAUUUACAUUGUCAAAAAUCUCGGACUGUUUUCAGAGUUGCUACAACAAUGGAAUUUUCAGUUUGACAAAACCGUUUAAACUGAAAAUCUGGGACUUCACAUUUGCUACAACAGAGUUGUCAAAAAUUUAGUUUACACUGUUAGUUUGACAAAAACUGUCCAAACUAAAAAUUCAGUUAUAAUGGUGUAGGCAUUGUUAAUCUUUGGGGAUAAUUGUGGAUGUUGUGAAGUGAUUUAGAUGUCUUCUUUGCUGUGCAUACUGGCAUCAAAUAAUUCCAACUUAAUCAGUAGAAAAUUGGUAACUCAUGUAGGUUGGCAUCAAAUUAUUGCCAGUAAUACAUUUAUUGGCAAUCAGUACAUGAUCAGUGACUGAAUUAGUACAUGCAUAAUCAUCCUAGCUCCCUUGUUCCAUACAACUGUAGAAAUAUAGUCCACAAUAUGUUGAUUUGCAUCUUGUUUGAGCUAGCUGGCACUGUACGGUUCAGAUGUUGUAGGCUGCAAGCAUCAAAGUUGAAGAGGCUAUUAACAGAAAUAAUUUUCUCAUAUUCUUAUUUUUUCUUCAAGUAAUUUGUUUUGUUAUCAAUGGUCUAAGAUUUGGUUCUUGAUUAAAACUGUCAUGCCUUCUUUUUGCUUGUUCUAAUCUGCGAAGUAGUGACUGGUCAGGUUGACCUUUUUUUUCAAAAAUGAAAAAAAAUUCUACUCCUAGAUAAUACAUUUACAGUACUAAAAAAUUGUAAACUGGAACCAAAUAGUUUCUUCUUUGAUUUAUGUGUCGCUUGAAGGUGCAUAUAUGUAACUAAUGGCCCGUAGGUUACCAUUCUGUGUGAUGUGUCAUCCAUAGACACACUUUUCUUUUCUUGUAUUCCAAUCACACCCUGUGGUGACCUUGGUUCAGCCAAGAGCACGUGGUGAUAGAUGUGUCCUCUUGUUUGACAAAAAAUUAUUCAAAACUUUGCUUUACUGAAUGCAAUUUGUCCUGUUUUGUCUGAACUUGGUUCAACCAGGAAAAUAUACUCCAUUCUUACUGAAACUUACUGAACUAACAGUAGGAGCAGGGAAAAAUGGAGCUGCAACCAAGCUAACAAGAACCAAUCUAAAGUUCUGAAGCUUACUGAAUCAAGAUGCAAGAAGAUGAGGAUGUAACCAAUGCUAUACUCCAUUUUUAUUUACUGAAUCUGAAGUUCUGAAACAUACUGAAUCGUAUCUAAUGCAGUUUUCAAGUUUAGUUAGUCAACCCAGUCCAUUAAUUCUUAGCUUAGACUGAACAUUUGGUUACUCCAAUUAAUCCAGGUUACUCCAAUUAAUCCAAAUUACAGCCACUACUCCAAAUUACAGUCACUAUACAGGAUAUACAAUUCAGUUUAGGCGCUCAUCAAAUUACAGAACAAACAUCCAAUUAAUCUAACUGGAUGAUCCACUGGUGAUCUAAUUCAAAUCAAUUUCACAUCAAUCUGAUCUACAAUGAUGUUAUCCAAACAAUCUCACAUCAAUUUGUCCACAUGACAGCAAUUUUUGGGAGGGGCGCUGGUACCUUCAACAGCAGCAGAGCCGGGGUCACCUGGACGAAUAAGAAGAUUGGGGCCACCUGGACGAAGAUCGGGAGCUGCACCACCACUAGCAGAAGCAAUAGAGGCGGAGGAAGACGGAAACAACAGAAGAGGCCGGAGUGGCGAAAGACAACGUGCCGACGGCCGAAGCGGACGGCGCAGGCCCUGCGAGCGGUGGUGGUCACCUCUGUGGCAGCUGCGCAGGUGGGCGGCGGUGCUGGUGACUCGAGAAGGACGACAAGGAGGUUCUGCCCGUCAGCCGUGCAGCUGCCGUCCGUCAAGGUGUCACCGCAGAGGAGCAGGUGGGCGGGGGGAAGCUCGCCUCCGUGUGCGCAGGUAAGCAGGGGUGCAAGUUGGCAGCUGUGGUGCAAGCUGAGCUCUACGACGGCUAGGGCGCGCGGUGCCCCGCGGUGACAGGGGAGACGGUGGCUGGGGCACGCAGUGCCCGCGUGCGACGGGGGUGGAAGAUGGGUUGAUUAGCAAGAGAAUUAAAAGGAUAAGGGUUUAUUUGCAAAAUUAUAAAUGAACUAAGAUGAGGACAAGUUUUCCCGGACGGAUAGAGUAUUUGAUACAUAUAAAUAUUGUGCUCAAGAAAGCUUAUUUAUCUACUGUUGCAUACUUCAAUAUCACCUAUGUAUAUGCCUUUGAAUGUCAACAUAUAAGUGCUUUAUCAUCCCCAACAUUCAGGAUACAUAGACGGGGAUGAUGUUGCUCAAAGGCGAGCACACAUUACCGUGUUGAAGGAGUUUUGCCUCUGUUUAUGCCUCAAAUAUCUAUGCCGCCUCUUUGUGCUAUCACUACUAGGCCCUCUUUAUUUUGUUUAUCAAUCAAAUGUUGGAUCUGACGAGGAUUUACUCAAGCUGGAUUUGUACAACUAUGGACUAUCCCAUCCGGUCUUUUAUUUAAGCUUUGAAAUGAGUGAAUUGGAUGCUGGGUUUGAACGAUUGUGUUCCGUGACUUUUUUUGAUGUUAUAUUAUCUAUUUC